CGGAGAGAGAAUGGAAGACCAGGAUGAUGAUGGUCUUCCUUGGGAUCAUGGAGCUGGACAAUAUCUUGCACAGAGAAAAGAAAGACAAGGUCAUCACUGCAUAUUUCAAGUGCCUCAAACUUCUCUUGAAAUCAAACCUCAACUCAAGGAACCGUGUGACUGUCAUCAACAUAUGGGCUGUUGCUGUAGUCCGCUAUAGUGCACCCAUCCAAGCAGAGGUUGACCAACUCGAUCGUACUAUCCGAAAGACAAUGACAAUGUAUGGUGCCCUCCAUCCUAAGGCAAAUGUACACAGGCUUACAUGAAGAGAGGUAAGGGUAGAUGUGGGCUGAUUAGCAUACAUGAAUGCAUCAACAGUGAAAGAGAAAACAUGGCAGAAUAUUUGGUAAACAGCAAAGAAAACCUGCUACAGUAUGCCGCUAGUGCAGAAGGAGUUAGCAAAAACGGAUUGAGAGAGCUCAUGAAUUCUGAUCACGAACAGCCAACGAGAGAGAAGAGACUCUACUCUGUAUGGUCAGUUCCAUCGUGAAACCAACAAAUUAAAAGACCAGGAAGCAUCAUGAAGGUGUCUCAACAAGGGUGACCUAAAAAAGAAUACUGAAAGCCUAAUCAUCGCUACACAGGACCAGGCAUUAAAUACCAACUCAAUGAAAAAGAAUAUGUACCACACAAGUGCAACGGAUCUCUGCAGAAUGUGUGGGAAGAUGGUCUAAAGCGUGACUCACAAUUUUAGUGCUUGUGAAACUCUUGUGCAGAAAGAGAAACGACAAGGUAGCCCCAAACUUCCACUGGCUACUAUGCUGUAAGUAUGGAUAUGAGGUUACGAGUGCUUGGUACCAACAUACACCGGAAAAAGUAAUGGACGAAAAGGAAAAGGCAGAAAUCCUCUGGGACUUUGACUUUCAGACAGACAAGAUGUUAGAGCACCGAAGGCCGGAUAUAGUAACCUUUAGGAGGAACAAACGCGGGUGCCUAAUAAUUGACGAGGCAGUGCUAGAUCAACAUAUCAUCAUGAAAGAAAGAAAAAGUUGAUGAAUAUGGAACCUGAGAAUUGAGAUCGCUAAGAUGUGGCAGCUACGAGAGUCAAACAUAAAGGUUAUCCCUAUUGUCAUCGGAGCAUUGGGCUCAAUACCAUCCAAUCUGAAAAAAAAAAAAACAUCUGAAAAACCUUAGAAAUACCCUACAAUCUAGAUGUAUUGCAAAAGUUGGCAUUACUUGGAACUGCAUGCAUAUUGCCUAAAGUACUGUCUGCCUGAGGUCUUUGUUGUGACUUGACAAACAGUACCAACCUCCGGUAGACACGAUAUCUUCAAUCAACAACCUCACAAUAUUGGAUACUAUGCGACGUCUAAAAUAAUAUAAGUUAUAGUAAUAAUAAUAAUAAUAAUAAUAAUAAUAAUAAUAAUAAUAAUAAUAAUAAUAAUAAUAAUAAUAAUAAUAAUAAUAAUAAUAAUAAAAUACAUAGGACACUCUAUGAAUAAAUGGCAAACAGUGCUACAGCUCCAAACAAAAGAGGGACUUGUGAAAACCAAAGCCAACCCCAUUAGAAGAUACGCUCUCUCCACUCCUUUUCUGCUUGGCACUGUCACCUCCAUCGGAUAUGCUAAACAGAACUGGAUGCGGAUAUAAAUGUUACGGCAAAACGAUCAGCCACCUUUUAUAUACGGAUGACCUAAAACUAUACGCUACAAAUAACAAACAGCUGGAAACACUACUAAAGACAGUUCAUGGAUUUACCAAAGAAAUAGAUAUGAAAUGUGGAUUAGAGAAAUGCGCCAAAGUAACCCUGAAAAGAGGAAAACUAGUUAAACUAAAUGCAAAAGAAAUAGACAAAGAAAAAUCCCAACACUGGUUGAGAAACUCAGGACUCAAAGCAGAGAAAGAAGGAUUUUUAAUUGCAACACAAGACCAAAGCCUCCCCACCAGAAAUUACCAAAAAACAUGUAAUGAAAAAAACAUAACAAGUAACUGCAGAAUAUGUGGAGAUGGACAAGAAACAAUAAAUCAUAUCAUCUCUGGCUGCCCAGUCCUGGCUAAGAAGGAAUAUAUUCACAGACACGACAGAGUUGGGACCUAUAUACACUGGAAACUAUGCCAACAUUAUGGAAUAACAGCAGAAAAAAGAUGGUAUAGGCACACACCAGAAAAGGUCACUGAAAACGAGAAAGCAACCAUACUCUGGGAUAUGCUGAUACACACAGAUAGAGAAAUUAAGGCCAACAGACCAGAUAUAGUUGUCAGAGAUCAUGAAGAAAAAAAUGUUUUCUAAUUGAUGUAUCAAUACCAGCGGAUGACAACGUGUCUCAAAAAGAAAUGGAGAAACUUUUAAAAUACAAAGAUCUGGAAAUAGAGGUAACCAGAAUGUGGAAUCUAAAAACAGAAACGAUUCCUAUCAUAAUAGGUGCAUUAGGCAUGAUAAAAAAAUAUUCAGACAAAUACAUAACAAAAACACCAGGACUUACAAACACAUAUAACAUACAGAAAAUUGCACUACUAGGCACUGCACACAUCUUACGCAGAACACUUUCCAUACAAUAACCAUCAGAGCAUCACAACAAAUCACAGCACAUACCCAAGGCACACAGAGCUGCGCUCGGUAGUGAAGUGAAAGCACGAUAUAAAAAAAUAUACUACUGAAUAAUAAUAAUAAUAAUAAUAAUAAUAAUAAUAAUAAUAAUAAUAAUAAUAAUAAUAAUAAUAAUAAUUAAUGGCCCGAUGCAGUACCAAGCAGUGGCUCUAUGCCCUGAUGCAGUACCAGGCAGUAGCUCUCAUGGCUUCUCAUCUUAACUGAUUGGAAGUGUUAUCAUGUACAUUGUUUUGUCUUGGUAUAUAAAAUGUGCUACAGCAAAUAUUCUGCUCAAUAACACAGAUUUGUUUGUCAGUUGUUUGACCUUAACCAGUUGAGCAUGUUCCUUAGUGGCUGACGAUAUGUACAUCUCUAAUCACGAGCAGAAGUAGUCGGGGAGCAUCAUAGCCAUGUGUUGAGAGGAAUUCUUUGGAGUUGAAUAAUUCACCUUUGAAAACAUGGGUGUUUUGUUCAUCCUCCUUAAACAACCCUUAUUCAGGGACCUUUUGAGCGGGAUGGACUACGCAACUUGAAGAAAAUUCUAGCCGUGCCUCACCAGCAAGGUCACGCGCUAUUUAUCUUGAUAUAAGAUCACCAUGUCGCGCACAUGUGGUUGCGAUGUAUGUGCCUGCUGUUCCCGUAUCAGACGUUUAGAAUGUUGUCUGUGUGUGAAACCUUCUUGCGCAUACAGAGUAUCUCAGCACGCAUGAUAGAGCAGCAUAAUAUAUUCACUGGGUAAUUUGCAAAAAUCUGAACUUGCUCCAUGAUAAAAACUGGUGGGAACACAAACCACCCCCAGUGCUUGAAAAUGCUCACAUCUCACUCCUCUGGAACCUUCACCAUUCAAACUGACAGAAAGAUAGAUCCGAAUAGACCAGACAUUAUAUUGAAAGUCUUCAGGCGAAAUUUAUGCCUUCUCAUUAAUAUGACUGUCCCAAUCGACAUAAAUGUAUCUGUCAAGACCUACCAAAAACUGAGCAAGUAUAAAGAUCUUGAAACAGAAAUUGGCAAAAUGUGGAACCUCAUGACUAAAACAAUACCUGUUGUGAUAGGUGCCCUAGGAAUGAUAGCAAAAGAGGCCAAUUCCUACCAAGCUCAGAUACCAGGAAACCCCAAAAUGGCAAAAAUUCAAAAGAUAGUGCUCAUGGGAACUGUCCGUAUCUUACGUAAAAUACUGUUUAUGUAAUCUCAAAUUUUAAAACAAACUCAUAAUUUUCUUAUGUUUUCUUAAACAUUCUCUAGAACAAUACUAUGUACAAAACCAAAUAUAUGGCACCCUAGGCAUAACACCAACAUGAACUUCUAACUUGUCUUUUGAGGUCUCAAGGCGAGACUCGGAGUCAACUUGUGCAAAUACAAAGCAAAAGUCAAACAUAAAAUAAUAAUAAUAAUAAUAAUAAUAAUAAUAAUAAAAUAAUAAUAAUAAUAAUAAUAAUAAUAAUAAUAAUAAUAAUAAUAAAAAUAAUCCUUUGUAUUAUAGGCUCAAGGGCUGAAAUUUGUGGGGAGGGGACUAGUCAAUUACAUUGACCCCAGCGUUUCACUGGUGCCUAAUCGACCCUGAAAGGAUGAAAGCCAAAGACAACUUCGGCGGAAUUUGAACUUAGAACGUGAAGUCGGACGAAAUGUUUGCUAAGCAUUUUCUACGAUUGCGCUAAAAAAAUUUGCUAGCUCACCUCGUUAACAAGAAUAAGAACAACAAAAACAACAACAAGGAUGAUAACAACAACAAUAACAACAACAACAACAGUAAUAAUAAACUCCACCGAUAUAAUCAUCAAAAAUCAUCACCACAGUCAUCAACAUCAGCAACAACAGUAGCAGCACAAUGAGUAGCACCACCUCUACCACACCACCGCCGCCGCCGCCAAAACCACCACCACCACCACUACCACCACCACCACCACCACCACCACCACCACCAUCAUCUUUAUAUACGUACUGAUCAUCUAAGACAUGGCGAUAUUUCUUUAUCAUCAACGGUAGAAGUUUUAUAAAUCUGGAAUAUUCUGGAUUUUGGUCAGAGCAAGAUUGUGGUUGUGUGUUGGAGAAGGAAUGUAAUCUGUGACGUAAUACAUCGAGAUUAGCAGAUAAUCUGGUGUUGCUUAGCAACGGUGGGAUCUAUGGGAGUCUUCAAUGGCAGACUUAAUGUUUUAGUGGAAGUCAUGUUUAUACCUUCAUCUCUUUUUGUUUUACUCCACAUCAAUAGUUGAGGCUGUUACACCGAGUCUCUUAUUGAUCUAGGCGCGCGUGUGUGUGUGUGAGUAUAUAUUUGUACGUAUGUGUGUGUGUCUACGUCUAUGUGUGUAUGUAAGAGUGUGUGUGUAUGUGCACGCGUGCGUGUGUAAGAAUGUGUAUAUUUGUGUUGUACGUGAGUGGUGUGCACGUGAAUGAUGUGUGAGAGAGUGUGAUGUGUAUGUUGAUGUGAAUGUGUGUGUAUGCGUGUAUGUGUGUGUGACUGUGUGUAUGCGUGUGUGUAUCUGUGAGAGAGAAUGUGUAUGUUGGUGCUGGUGUGUGUAUGUAUGUGUGUAUGACUGUUUUGUAUGUGUGUGUAUCUGUGUGUGUACGUAUAUAUGUGAGUGAGACGGAGAGAAAGAAAAAGGGAAAGCAAAAGAGGGAGAAAGAUAGAGUGAGAGAAAAAGAGGUAGAGAGAAAGAUGGAAAGAGAGAAAUAAAAAGAUAGAGGAAAGGAGAGAGAGAGAGAGGGAGAGAGAAUGCUGCGUGUGGUGUGUAUGUGCUAGCCAAGAGUGAAUGAUGUACUACAUGAGUGUUGUGUAUGUUGUGUGUGCACACGCGUACACAUGUGUGUGCUUGUGUGUGUUUGUGUGUGUGUGUGUGUGUGUGUAUGUGUGUGUGUAUGUGCAUGCGUGUGUGUUUUUGUGUACGCGUGUUUGUGUAUGUGUUAUUGAUGUAUAUGUGUUCGUGUUGUGUAUGCAUAAAUGAGCUUUCUAUAAGAGUGCUGUUUGAGAGUGUUAUGCGUGAACGUGUGUGAGUGCAAUAUAUGAGUGAAGUAUGUAUGAGUGUGUCUGUGUGCGUGUGUUUAAGAGUGAGUUUUACGUGAGUUUGAGUGCGUGUGUGUGUGGGGUUUGCAUGCGUGCUAGUGUAUAUUGCGUAUCAUUGUUGUACAUAUCUGAGGUUAUUAUCAUAUAAGAACUAAUUUUGUUGUUGUCGCCUCCGCGGGUGAUACUCUCUUUUUACUCUCUUUUACUUAUUUCAGUCAUUUGACUGUGGCCAUGCUGGAGCACCGCCUUUUGUCGAGCAAAUCGACCCCUGGACUUAUUCUUUGAAAGCCUAGUACUUAUUCUAUCGGUCUCUUUUGCCGACCCGCUAAGUUACGGGGAUGUAAACAGACCAGCAUCGGUUGUCAAGCGAUGCUGGGGGGCGGACAAACACAGACACAGAAACAUAUAUAUAUAUAUACAUAUAUACGACGGGCUUCUUUCAGUUUCCGUCUAGCAAAUCCACUCACAAGGCUUUGGUCUGCCCGAGGCUAUAGUAGAAGACACUUUCCCAAGAUGCCACGCAGUGGGACUGAACCCGGAACCAUGUUGUUCGUAAGCAAGCUACUUACCACACAGCCAAAGUAUGGAAAAAAGACCGUAUUGCGGAAAGUCACCGCGGACUCAUAGUUCCUUAUAGAUCCUUCAAGACCAAACUGGUACUAUAUCCAUAGAUCCUUCAAGACCAAACUGGUACUAUAUCCAGUUUCAGGGACAAAAGCGAAGGACAUAAGAUUAAUGGCGUCAAGACGAAAACCGAGUUAUAACUGCAGUCGUUAAAACUACUUGAGGGUUUUUGCUCUGAAGAAUUGGAGAAGCAAAAAGAAGAAAAAAAAAAAGAAACGGUAACUGGAGGAGACGACGGACCCUAAUAUUCAAGGUAUGACCGAUCAUUGCCCCAGUGAUUCCGGUAGCUUCGUCAUUUGUACAACCCCGCAGGUAGCCAGAUAACUGGCCUCACCCUAGAGCCCAAAACAGGAUGACGACGAGGUCCCUCUAUCAGUAGCAGAGCUACCAUUGUCUCGUGGUGUGCAGCAGGAGGUGGAAUAAAAGAAAACAGAGAAAUUAUAUCCGAAAAGGAAAUGCGGACCUUAACGAAUCAAUAAAAAGAUUAAGUAUCCCUCUUUCUCACAACAAGUCCUUGGGGUUCGCAGACGUGUUGCUUAGUAACGAGAAUGCAAUGUUUGAUUUAGAAGACGGAAUUUUUCCAACGCUCGAGUGUGAGAAUUUUUAAUUUAGUUCUCACCAACACGCCACGAUUACAUGGAAGCUGAAUCCAAGCACUCUGGAAACUUCUCUAAUUUGUUCAACUCAAAAAAAAUUCGACAACAGAACACGAUGACAGAAGUGGCUAUGCACCUAAGUUAAUAAUAAUAAUAAUAAUAAUAAUAAUAAUAAUAAUAAUAAUAAUAAUCAUGAUCAUCAUCAUGAUCAUCAUCAUCAUUAUUACUGUUGUUGUUGCUGUUGUUUGCAGAAACAUUCUCCUCUGGAGCAAUGCAAAAAGUAAUAUUAUCUCAUCUUUUCGAAUAUAGGAAUUACACUUUCUAACGUAAGAUACUAAUGUGUGUGUGUGUGUGUGUGUGUGUGUGUGUGUGUGUGUGUGUGUGUGUGUGUGUGUGUGUGUGUGUGUGUAUGUGUGUGUGUGCGCGCGCGCGCGUGCGUGUGUGUGCGUGUGCGCGCGUGUGAAUGUACUACCAUUAGUGGAAGAAUACUUAUUAGUCGUUCUCUGUGUUACGUAAGGCUGCUUUCAUCUACUUAUCAUUUAUCGCACUUUCUGUAACAGGAUUUUAUUCGGGAUGAAGUUGUUAAUCUCUAUGCCGAACUUUUAAUGUAGACAGUCAGGUUCUGCUUUUGUCUAGCAUUGAUCUUGAAAGCUGCCCUAAAGUCACAGAAGCACAGAAGAUUUUCUUCCACAAACUUAAUUGUUUGCAUUUGUCUCUAUGCGAAAUUCCAUAAAAUUUGCUAUCUUUUAAUUCACUUCUUAAUAACUAUACGUCAAUGAAGUUCACACGAUAUGUAUGUGAAUAUAUGUCGUAUGAUCAAUAAGUAUUCGGACUGUUGCCAUAGUAACAAAACUAAAGCACGCAGAGUGAAGCCGCUUGGCGCAGAUUAACCUUAAAGUUUUAAUGUAGCAGCUCACUUCUGCUGUUUACAACAGUGCUUGAAAGGAAGGUAUGUAGCGUGUGAUCAUGACAGAGAAAGUUGAGCAGAGAAUCUGUAUCAAAGUUUGCCAAAAGCUUGGCGAUAACUGCUCAGAGGCCUACGCAAAGUUUUCAAAAAAGUUUUCAUCGUUCUCGAUACAAUUAAGAAGAUCUUGUGCAAGUGAAACCCGAGUGUCUUUUUGGACAGUUGAAAUCAGUUUUGACACAGACGCAUGUCUCAUACCCAAAUCUUCAGUGAUAAUGGACUGAACGGAACUGUAACUUAUCUGCACAUCCUCUGAUAACUCACGGGUGGUGAUUGGAUGAUUUCCAGUCUCAGUUGCACGUACCUCUGUAAUGUUUUCCUCAGUCCUGCUAGUUGCGUGUCUUCCAGAACGUUCGUCAAUAUCGACAUUUUUUUGGCCAUCUUGGAAACGUCUGAACCACUCGUUCACUUGCGUGCGGCUCAUACACUAUUCUCCAUUCGCUCUCUGCAACUUUGCGUAGGCCUCUGAAUAGGUAUCGCUAUGACAACUUUCUCUGCCAUGAUCAAUGUGACGAUCACACACUACACACCUUCCUUCCAAGCCCUGUUGUAAACAGCGGAAGUGAUCUAGAACGUUAAAACUUAGUGUGCAUGCACAGCAAAAUUCAAGGUCAAUCUGUGCCAAGUGGCUCUACUUUAUGUGCUUUAGCUUCGUUACUAUGGAGUCAGUCCGGAUACUUAUUGAUCAGUACAUAGCUAUCACAAUAUACGAACGUAGCUGGUUUUAAAAUCUCUGAAACAGAUUCACAUAGUAACAGUACUAAACAGUAAUGUUCGUUAUCACUUUCACGUGGCUGUUCCAUGCGGAACAAAGGUUACUACAUUUUAACCCCAGGAAAACAUCUUUUCCCGAUGGUUAGCGACACACGACCAGUGUCUGUUUUAUUACGAGUAAGGGAGCGAACCACUCCCACUCCAGCAUAGCAAGAUCAGUAGACCAGCUGAUUCUGAGUGCAUUCUCGUCCUCGGUAAUGGACGCCUGCCUGCUAGAGAUGGCAGCUAUCCGUCCUUCUUCGCAAUAUAUUAACAAUGUAGUAACGUUUGUUCCGUAUGGGAGAGCCACGUAAAAGUGGUAACGAACAUUACUGUUUAGUACUGUUACUCUGUGAAUCUCUUUCAGAGACUUUAAAACCAUCUACUUUAGCCUGUUGCAAGAUCAGUGACUGAUUGUCGCUUCUUUGUUUAUAUACUGCGAGUAGGGACGGAUAGUCAAGUCUUCAAUGGGGUAUUGUACCCAUAUCUUGAACAAAGAAUUCAGACAUGAACCACAUGACUGAUAUUGCAUCAAGUCCCUUACAGAAACGCUUCAGUGCCUGGUCCACAAGUGUGUUGUCUCAUCUCCCAAUUUUUUCUAAAGUUAUCAUAAUGGCUUCUUUUCCUCGGAACGAGCUGACCUAUUCAAAGGUGUCAGUGAGGAUGGGACAAACAUGUCAAAAACAAUCAUUCCCACAGAACGAUAAUUUCUGGAAUACUAAGAAAUUAAAGAAAAUUCCAUUCACAUCCAGCCCAAACUAAUAGCGAGCGGAGAACACUAUUAAGAAAAUGGAGUUUAAAAUCUUUUUACCUCAAUCGUCAAGUCAGUUGGACGAUCUUUCCUUUAGGAUCAUAAAAGUACGGGAUUGAAAAUGAAACACACAACAUGGAAGAUGCAGGGAAAUAAUUUGGCUAUUCCUGAAUGACCGAAACGAAUAAGUAAAAUCCUAAAAGUAGGUCAUUAUCAAAGAUACGGUUAUUAUAGAUUUCUAUUUUCAUUUCUUUACAGCAUCAUUUAGUUCACUUCUAAAGUAGCAGCAUCGUAGAAAAUAAGAAAUGUCUUAUCUUAAAAAAAAGUGAUACAUGUCAAAGUAAUUACAAAUUGACAACUCAUUUCCCAAAAUAAACACAUAUUAUUUGAAAGUUUACGGGCAAGAAGUUUAUGAAUGGUGAUGUAUGUCUUGUCCAGAAAAGAUACACAGAUAUAUAUAUAUAAAACAAACAUAUGUGUAGAGUGUGCAUAAGUAUAUUCAUGUAUAUGUACACACACAAAAAACAAAUGUAUAUGUAUAUAUAUAUGCAUGUAUUUAUGUACAUAUAUACAUAUGUAUGCAUAUAUAUAUAUAUAUAUAUAUAUAUAUAUAUAUAUAUAUAUAUAUAUAUAUAUAUAUAUAUAUAUAUAUAUAUAUAUAUAUCUCUUCCCCCUCUCUGCCUCUCUCUCUCUCUCUCUGAAUAUAUAUAUAUAUAUAUAUAUAUAUAUAUAUAUAUAUAUAUAUAUAUAUAUAUAUAUAUAUAUAUAUCAGCUUUUCUCAAAAUUUCGAAUAGAAAACGAGAUAUUGUUUGCUAAAGAAGUAGUAACGCUUCUUAUACGUCAUUACAUUUUAAAAUUAAUGUUUCUAAAAAUAUCAUUUCUAAUUAAAUACUUAUAACUUAUCGAAAUGAUGUUUUCUUUCUUUCCUUUCACUACAUUUGAUUUUUAAAAUGAAAUAACUUCUUCUGACUAGUUUUUAUACAUUCCAGAUCUUUUCGAAAAUAUUCUACAUUUACCUCACAAUCACGUAUUCCCGUAUUCAACAACAACAAUAAUACAAACAGGUGCAGGCGUGAAUGUAUAGUUAAGAAACUUGCUUCCGAACUAUAUGGUCUUCGGUUCUGUCUCACUACGACGCACCUUGGGCAAGUGUCUCCUCCGAUAGUCACGGGUGCGCCGAAGUCUUGUGAGUGGAUUUGAAAACUAAAAGAAGCUUGUCGUCUAUCUAUCUAUCUAUCUAUCUAUCUAUCUAUCUAUCUAUCUAUCUAUCUAUCUAUCUAUCUAUCUAUUAAUCUCUCUCUCUCUCUCUCUCUCUCUCUCUCUCUCUAUAUAUAUAUAUAUAUAUAUAUAUAUAAACAACAGCAAAGAAACAACAAUUGGCCAAUGUAAGUGCUGAAUGUAUCUGCUAGAAAUAGCAGCUAAAUGUUCAUCAAAUCACACCGAUGUGGUGGUGGCGGUGGUGGUGGUGGUGGUGGUGAUGGUGGUGGUGGUGGCAGCAUCUUCAUCUUAGUCGUGACAACCGGCAUGUCUUUGGAAUUUUAAACCAGGCAGAGUCCAUCCCUCUACAUGUAACGAAAGCAAUAGAUUUCGGUUAGAGACAAAUAGUAAGAGAUUGAGAAAGAUCGAUUUCAAAUCGAAUGUUAUUGACUUCGGAAUGAUCAAAGACUAAGUUGACGUCGGUGAAAUUUGAACUCAGAGCGCUCUAACCACCGUACCAACGGUCUGCUUCAGUCACAUGCAAUCUAUCACAUUGGGUAGUGAAGUUCCAAAUAUUUGAUCUCUUCCCUGUUUCAGUCAUCGAACUUCGGCCGUGCGCACGCGCAUGUGUGUGUAUGUGCGUGUGUGUCUCUAAGGAAUUCUUGACCGGUGAUUUCGGGCAAUGAAAGUCCCUGGCACUACAUAUGUACACAAUUAUAUGCUCUAACUACUGCAUCAGAGCACUUUAGCUCUUAUUUCUAGCAAAGUAGGUGUUCUAACACCCUAGUCAUAUUUAGUGACAAUUAUAGUUUUCCUUUUUGGUAACACAUUGCACACAACUGUGAGGUAAGAAGCUUGCUUCUCCACCACAUGGUUCUGCGUUCAGUCCCAUUGCGUGGAAUCUUGGGCAAGUGUCUUCUACUAUAGAGUCGGGCCGACCAAAGCCUUGUGAGUGGAUUUCGUAGACGGAAACUGAAAGAAGCACGUUGUAUAUAUAUAUAUAUAUGUGUGUGUGUGUGUGUGUGUGUGUGUGUUGUGUGUGUGUGUGUUUAUGUCCUCGAAACUUUUCGGUUCGUGAAUAGAGACCGAUAGAAUAAGUACUAGGCUUACAAAAAAUAAGUCCUGGGUGGAUUUGUUCGACUAAAGGUGAUGCUCCACCAUGGCUGCAGUCAAAUGGCUGAAACAAGCAAAAUAAUAAAAGAAUGUAUAUAUAUAUAUAUAAAUAAGAAAAUGGAGAAACAAAAAAUUGACUACUUUUAACCAUAGGCUGAAACAGCUGUAAGAAGUGAUUUUAAUGAUUUCAAUAAUUUAUAUCAUGACUUUAUGACAAUUAUGACAAUAAUUUAUAUUAUAAUUUGUAUUCUUAUCUUAUAUGUAUUGAAUUAUAAGAUAUAUAUGUAUGCUAUUGAGGUUCUCAUUUUCUUAAAUGAAUAAAUAAUCCAACAUUCUAAUAUCCGAAAGUUGAUGAACAAACUAAAUUUGUUUCUCCAUUUUCUUAUUUGCAUUAUAAAUUUACGGUAAAAAUAUUUCUUUAGCUUCACCCGUUUAAUACAAUAAAUGAGUUAAUUGCAUUGCAAUUAAAAACAUUUAUGUAUUAAGAAUCUGGGUACUUUACCAACAAUAUAUUGGAUAAAUACUAUCCCAUAGUGGGUUACACCCAUAACCCCUAUCUUACUUUGUAUAUAUAUAUGUAUAUAUAUAUAUAUAUAUAUAUAUAUAUAUAUAUAUUUGUGUAACCUUCUCUGUUUUUUUCCGUCCUUGUUUUCGUAUGCAUACAUUCGCUGCUUUCUUCCAAGGAAUCUAAUGCUCUUAGCUUAGUUUUUUUCUUGGGGCUGGCCAGAUUGGAGCAAUCUCGAGUAUAACCAGCCGAAAUUGCAAAGAUAAUCUGGAACUCGACUGAGGAAAGAAAACUCCGAAUGACCCGUCCUUGUUUUCUUUGUAUCGUCUAUCUGGUUGUUUUGCGUUCUUGUCCCAUUUUGUAUAUAUAUAUAUAUAUAUAUAUAUAUGUGUGCGUGUGAGUGUGUGUGUGUGUGUGUGUGUGCGUGUGUGUAUAGACGACGGGCCUCCCCACAGUUUCCGUCUACCAACUUCACUCACAAAGUGGCAUUUGUCAUUCGUUAGCUCGGGACUGUAGUAGAUGAAAACACUCACCCAAGAUGCGUCUUCCAUAUUUGGACGGAACCUAAAACUACUUCAUUACAAACGUACUUCUUAACCACACAGCCGCAAAAAAGAAAAAGAAAAAGAAUACAACACCCCAAAACUCUGGAUGAUUACGGUCGGAACGUCUUUAAUCAUAUGCGUGCACCGUCAGGGCUCACUUUCUACUAUACACAUUCCUCCAUCAAUACAGUAGCGUUUUUCAGAAUAUCAUUAUUUAUUUUUUUCUUAUUUACUUAAUUAUUUAUUUGUUUAGUUAGUUUGUGCUGAAGCAGGAGAAUUGGUAUUAUUCCUGUCAUGGUGAAAGUGCUCUAUGAACUGUCUAUGGCUGCAUGUGUUAUUGAUUAAUAAUGGCUUUAUUCUGGAAAUUUCUACAUGAAAUAGCUGUAGGUCGGAACAUAUUAGCUAUGUUCUUCAGAGGAACAAUUUUAUGGCGGAGAUUUUAUAUGUAAGAGACCUCACAUUAUCCUGUUUCAGAGGACACACAUUGUUUGAAUUUAUCAAAGGGUAUAGUGUAAACGUUGGUCAUGUAAGAGUGACGAGCGUGAGCGUGUAUGACUGUGUAACGUGUGUGUGUCUGUGUCUGUGCGUGUGCGGUAAUAUUCAGAAAGGCAGUGGUUAUUAAGCUGCUAAUUCCUAUGGAAUCUUCAGCUAAUAAGUCCAUCAGGAGUUAUCAUUUCGUAUUUUGAACUACAUACACCUGUGCACACAGAUAUGUACACGAGCUCGCACACAUAUGCACACACUCACACACGUGUGCACAUACACAGACACACACAUUACACCCCCCCACACACACACACAUAUAUCACGAUCAAAUUAUGGGUGACAUUUUUGAGUAUCGGAUAUUCUGGGAUAUAAAAUUAGAAUUUUAUUUUCUACGCCAUUACAAACACAUUAUAAUAUCUCGAAAAAUAUGAGGCAAGGCAGUGUGAUUAAGAAGCUUGCUUUGCAACUGCCAAGUUUCGAGUUCAGUCUCACUUAUUUGCACUUUGAGUCAGAGUCUUCUCCUGUAGCCCCAGUCUAAUUGUGAAUGAAUAUGGAAACUGAUGGGAGCCCUUUGUAUGUAUAUAUAUAUAUAUAUAUAUAUAUAUAUAUAUAUAUAUAUUACUUGCUUCAGUCAUUAGACUGUGGCCAUGCUGGGGCAUUGCCUUGAAUUUUUAGUUGACUGAAUCGACCCCAGUACUUCGUUUUUUUAAGCCUCGUACUUGCUCUCUCGGCCUCUUUUGCCGAGCUGCUAAGCUACGGGUGCACAAGCGGUUGUCAAGUGGUGGCGGGGGGCAAACGCAGGCACACACACACACACACACACACACACACAUAUAUGCAUAUAUAUAUGCAUGUAUGUACGUAUGUGUGUAUAUAUGUAUAUGCGUGUGUCUAAGUGUAUAUAAAGGUGUGUGUAUGUAUGUUAAUAUGUAUAUAUAUAUAUAUAUAUAUAUAUAUAUAUAUAGAUUGAUUGAUUCUAGUUUCAGCUCAUGAGCCGUGGCCAUGCUGGGGCACCGCCAUUAUAUAUAUAUAUAUAUAUAUAUAUAUAUAUAUAUAUAUAUACAUAUAUAAAUAUAUUUAUUUGUGUGUGUGGGUGGGUGGCUAUAUAUAUAUAUAUAUAUAUAUAUAUAUGUAUGUGUGUAUAUGCAUGUAUGUAUGUUGUGCAUAGAGUUAUAUUUUUGUAUGUGUAUAUGUACCAUAAACUCGUUACUGAAUCUUUCAACCUCACCACUCUAUUAAUUAUAAACUAAUCUUUUCUGGACAUGCAUUAUACCUUCUGCACUGAAGAUUUUUUCGAUAUCGUAUAAUAUGCUAUAUUUAUUUCUACUGUUCAUUUUAUACAAUCCUAAACCGCCCAACCGUUAGCGAAUACGACACUAUUUAUAUUUUGAAAAUAUGUCAGCCAAUCAAAGUGAAAUGCUUAUUGGUCAAAUUGGAUUAUAUCAAAUCAUAUGCUACAUGUACCAUUUACAAUUUUAUUCCAGUCUUCAUCACAACUAUCCGACAAACGGGAACAUGUAACUCUGAGUAACAGUUUUUUGUGAUGUUUUUGCAGCUUUAAUAAAAAAGUAUAUUACCUUACCUUCUAUAUUCUAGUAUUAUUUUUUCCACCUUGUUUUGCAUUUAUGUGCUUACUCUUAUGCAUACAUACAUACAUACAUACAUACAUACAUACAUACAUACAUACAUACAUACAUACAUACAUACAUUUAUAUAUAUAUAUAUAUAUAUAUAUAUAUAUAUAUAUAUAUAUAUAUAUAUAUAUAUAUAUAUAUUCAGAAGUCAAACACGUAUAGUAAUAAACAAACGAACAGAAAGACAUACUAAAUGCACCGAAUGCACAGACGCACAGACGAACGGAGAACAAACACAAGUCACAAAUUCUUCAUCAGUUAUCGGCCAGGAUGUUGAGCGCAAUUUCAUGCAAUUAUCGAUAAUGUUGCAUCCAUCCUAGAGGCAGCCAGCAAGGGAACUUGCUGGGGAAGCGAACAAAACAUAACAAGACGCACAGCAAUAAGGAACGGGGGACAAAAGAAAAACGAAAUAAAUGAGCGGAAUAUGGCUUUAGAGCCAGGCGAAGACAACAAAAAAUAAUAAUACAUAUAAAACAAAAAAAAGAAGAAGAAUACAUACACAAAAAAGCUGUGGGCUAACAGACAAAAAGCGUGGAGUAACGCACAGAAGGAAAACUGUCCUACAGGAUUAAAACAAAUGCAAGAGAAAGGAAGGGCGAGGAGCUCAGAGAAGUAUUAACGAACAGAUUGAAGGCAACAUGGAAAAGAAUGACACCGCCAUAGAUUGUGACCGGUCAUAUGAUAGUGAGAGGAAGGAGGAACAGUCAGAGGGACAAGAGAACAACAGAGGGAGAAUGAGUGAGAGACAGAGAGAAAGACAGAGAAUAAAAGGAAGAUGAAAGAGAGACAAAAGAAAGGAAAGAGACAGACUAGGGUUGCACAAAAAUAUUCUGAGAAUAUUUCUACGAAUGGGUCAAAAAUAAGGAAUGCUUUAUAUUACGUGAAUAUUUUUCAACUACACACACAGAAACACACACAUACACACAUACACACACACACACACACACACACACACACACACACACACACAUAUAUAAUAAAUUAAUAAAUAAAACAUAUGCAUAUAUACAUACAUAUAUGUACUACCUACAUCUAUAUGUAUGUAUACAUGCAUAUAUGGGUACAGGACAGAAAAAAAACGUCGAACAUAAUGAGAAACGAAAAUAUAAACACAAAACCAUAUAUAUAGCUAGGUAGAUAGAUAGAUAUGUUAUGUACGUAUGUAUAUGUGUGUGUGUAUAGGGUGGGGAAGCAAAAGUUUGAACAUUUUGGAAGCCUUAUUUUUCAUAUAUUCCUGAGCACAAAUACUAAAAUAUUGUUUCCUAUUUCAGGGUGGAGGUAUAUAGAGUUAAUUUAAGCAGAAGUUCCAGACAUAGGAUCUAACAUGUCCACUUAAGAAGCCAAGCGACAACGUAUUGCAGAUUUGCUACGUACCGGAUUUGCAAUUAUACGUAUUGUCAGAAUGUUGGGUCCUCUGUGAACAAUGUCUACAACGUUACGAACUGAAUACUGGAUAUUGGAGAAAUGAAAAGUGCAAGGAAGACAUAAAUGAAAAAUGGGAUAAUGCAUUUCUUAAAUCUCUCAAAGCUAAAAUUUCGAAAGAUCAAACAACAUCCAUGAAAAAACUAUCCAUGGACAUGAAAGUUAAUCCAAAGACCAUCAGAAAUGCUGUACAUACUGAUUUACAUUUGGGGUCAUACGUGAGGACUCCGAGGCACCUAUUGACUCAUGCAAUGAAAGACAAAAGGCAAGAAAAUGCCAAAAAAGGUGUUGCGAUAACUGAAGCACAAUGGACAAACCGUCAAAAUCUUUUCGGAUGCGAAAAUCUUUACCGUUGAUGCUGUUUUCAAACGUCGCAAUGAUUGAUACAUUGCUAAGUCACCUUCUGAUGUAAAGGCAUCUUUAGGGCCAAGCCACCAGCUCAAGACAUGAAACUGGGAGUCGUGGCAUCUGGCGGAAAGAAGAUGCCUCUCCAUUUUUUCGAGUCUAGGGAAAAGGUGGGUGCUGACGUUUAUAAUAACGACCUGCGGUACAAGGUUUUGCCUUGGCUGAAGUCUAAUUACCCCAACGAUAAAGAUGUGUGGACCCAAGAUAGUCCUCUUGCUCAUACGGCGAAGAAAGUGCAGAAAUUCUGUGAAGACAACUUCGCCGACUUUUGACCUGCCAACUUCUAGCUUUCUUCCCGCCCAGACUUUGCAUCCAAGUCUUGAUCAUUUUAAGCAAUGCUGAAAGAAGAGUGGGACAUGUCUAAGUACUUAAUCAUGAAGAGUUUUGACACCAUCAGGUGGCGUGUGAAGGCUGUGGUGGACAAUGAAGGCAAACGUAUUGAAUAAAUUGUCUCUUUAUAUCCCUCUAAACUUGUGUUAAAAUUAUAUUUAUGUCAGGUUGCUGGUUGUUGUAAUAUAAACAAUUUGGUGAAUUAUCUAUUAUUUUCCAAGUUUCGCUUCCCCACCUUGUACACACACACACACACACACACACACACACACACACACACACACACACACAGAGACACACACACACACACACACACACACACACACACAGACACACACACACACAAACACACACACAUACAUGAGUAUGUGUGUGCGUGUGUAUGUCUCCCCACCACUGCUUGAUAACUGAUAUUGGUUUGUUAUCGACUCCGUAGCUUAGCGGUUUCGGAAAAGAAACCAAGGGAAUAAGUGCCAGUCUUAAAAAUAAGUACUGGGGUUGAUUUAUUCCACUAAAACCCCUUAAAGGCAGUGCCCUAGCAUGGUCAUAGUCCAAGUAAACAAUAAAAUAUAAAAAAUCUAAUACUAUCCAAAUAUACGUAUAUAUAAAACUAUACAAGAGUAUUGUAUUUAUAAAACUAUACAAGAGUAUUGUAUAUAUAAAAAUAAUACUCAUAUAUAUAUAUAUAUAUAUAUAUAAAGUAAGUAAGUAACAAGGAUGUGAAGGUAUUAAUGCAUUACGGGCGUUUCAGGCGGCUCCAUUUAAUCUAUCAAUGCAAGCAUCACAUCAACUUCAAAUGCACCACCUUCUUCAGAUGCAUAACACCAUAUAGGUUUUCAACAUACAGGAUACCCCAUUAAAAUUUUUUUUAACAAAUAUUUCAUCAGAACAAGAGAAUAAAAGAAUUACAUGCUUGUUGCUAUUAUCGUAGCAGAACGAACUUAGGGAGAAAAUAGCCCAACUAUAAUUUAGAGUGGCAGAAGAGAAUAACAAUGGGAGUCAUGAGAUGGUAAUACAGCUACAUUUAUCUAUCCCCUUACCAUCAUCAAAAGAUCUAAUGCAGCUAGUAUACUACGUCCAUUAAGAAUUAAAACCACUUGGAAUUGACAGUUAAGUUCUAGCUGCUGAUAAUAAAUUAAUUAAUGUCAGAUACUCUCCCAAACCCCAAAUGCAUUAUAGCUAUGAAUUCGCUAUGACUACAUAGAGAAACAAAUCUCAUCAAAAGUUAGUAAGAUAGUGAUAUACGUCCAGAAAGAGGGAGGGUAGGGGUGAUAUAAACUAUUUUAUUAUUAUCAGUUAAAGGGGCCUAAAAAAAAAGAAAACAAAGGAUGUCACAGUGAGAUCUAGAUGGGCUUUAAGGAUACUGGGAGGAAAAUAUAAUCAAAAUUUAGCGUAUCAUAUUUUGUACACUAAAAAAGCAAAAUUUUAAAUUUAGAAAGGGAUGUAAGGACCAAGUAAGAUGGAUAUAUAAACCAAUUUAAGCCCUAAAAAAUAGAGUACUUUUCUAUAAAAUAGCCGCUUCAUAAUACUUCAUUCUGGCAAACUUAUAAAGUGGUCAUACUAAAACCAUUCAAACUGUGACCCUAUAAUUACAUUCAGAUAUUGUCCGAGAACCAGGGAUACAUUUUCUAUUGACAGAAAACUAGGGAUUAAAGGCAAAAAUGAGAUAAUAGGUUCUAAAGCAAAUAAACUUAUUUAAAAAAUAUAAUUAAAUAAAAAAAAUUUCCAGCAUUAUGAAAUAAUCUUGAAGGAUAUAAGGACACAAGAAAAUAUUAUAUAUAUAUAUAUCUGUAAAUGUAAUGUGUGAUAAUUGUCACAUGUUACAUUUAUAGAUAAAUUCCUCUAUUUACAUAAUAUCGAGGUCUCUUUCAUUCUUUUGUUGUCUUACCAUUUCUAUCAAUAUAUAUAUAUAUAUAUAUAUAUAUAUAUAUAUAUAUAUAUAUAUAUAUAUAUAUAUACAUAUAUGUAUAUGUAAAGAAUAUACUAUAAUUAUAAAAUGUAAUUAUAAAUAACUAAAAAAAUAUAAAUGUAAAUAUCAUAUUAUAUUAUUUUACCACCAUUAACUAUAGAGAUAUGUUAGAAACCCUGUCCCCGAAAAUCAUAUAAUGUCACACAAGUAUAUACGAGGAUAAAUAAUUAAAAAAAAAUUAAUAAUAUAAUAUAAAAUAAAAAAAUAAAUAGAAUACCGCAAGAAUUAAAAUGAAUAAAUAUAUAUAUACAUACACACACACACACACACACACACACACACGCACACACACACACAAACACACACACAUAUAUAUAUAUAUAUAUAUAUAUAUAUAUAUAUAUAAUUUCAAUAAGGGAUUUAUAAAAUGAAAAAAAUAAAUGUAAAGUUAAAAAGUAGGCAUAAGGUUAACUUAUUUUCAGAUCUGAACCCAUUAGAUACAUACUGGAUAUAAGGAGAGAUAAAGGAUAAAAAAAUAAAGAUAAGCAUAAAAACUAAAAAUAAUAAGAAAAAGUUUAAAAAAUAAUAAGUAUAGGUCAAGGUAUCCCUAACAAAGCAAAUUAAGAAAUAAAGUAAGAUGAGGAUAGCAUUGGAUGCAGUUUUAUAAAAUAGGAUAUAAUAUUACCGGCACUGAUAUAUGUAGAAUCAUGUAGUUCCAUUUUUUCAAGUACCUAAGGGAGGUGUACGCUCUAAUAACUUAUUCUAAAUAUACCUAUUCUGACUGAUAGGGAAGAAAGUCUUGGAAUUGAAAGGAAAAACAGUAUAAGCAUCGUGUAGUUGGAAUGCAGGUGUUAUAAGAGGGCAAUAUUUUGUAUAAUAUAUAAUUUACUAUACUAGAGGGUAUGUUAUGAAAGAUAUGACACCCCACAUAAUUUCUACCAUCGAAUUCAAAGUAUGAGUAUAAUAUUAUUUGUUUCCAAAAUAUUUAAAUGUGCAGGUGAUGCUGUGCAGGUGAUGCUGUGCAGGUGAUGCUGUGCAGGUUUAGGAGAUUUGGGGGGGGGGGCGGAUUUUUGGGAGAUUAUAUAUAUAUAUAUAUAUAUAUAUAUGCAUAUAUACAUACAUAUAUGUACAUACCUACAUAUAUGUAUGUAUAUAUGCAUAUAUGGGUACAAGACGUCAAAAGAACGUGAACAAAAUGAAAAACGAGAACAUAAAAAAACAAAAACAUGGAAAACGAACAUUUUUUCGAACAAUGAAAGAAACAAAUAGAGAAACGAGACAGGCAACAUAAAGAAUCCCUUCAUCAAUUGUCCCCUGGUUUAUCUACUCCGAACGUUCGACAAGACGCGACUUCGUUAAAACAGUCGUUCCCGCAAAGCAAAUUAAAUAAAAUUUGAGAUUUGUAGAGGGUUAAAGUGGUAACAAAAACAGGACAGUAUGAAAAAAACAGUAAAGACAAACGGUAGGGCUGUUAAGCCAUAAAGAGGUGAAGUGGUGAACGCUGGAGAAGCGAGCUUUGACAGGAGAAAGGCAAAUGUGUGUCUUGUCUCUUGUAAAGAAAGAGGAAAAAAGAAAGAUAGUCGUUGGUCCUGUGUGAGCAACGAGAAAGUCAAGGAGGAGGAGUGAGGGAGAGAGAGAGGGAGAGAAAGAGAGCGGCGAAGGGGAGGAGAAGAAAAACAGAGAGAAAGAAGAAUAAUAGAGGGAGAAUAGAGACAGUUGUAGAGUGCACAUCAGAAUUAUUAAGAUAAAACUUACUUGGAAAUGGAUGCGUGGCGUUUGAUCAUAUAAUAAUAUAAAUAAUAUAUAUAUAUAUAUAUAUAUAUAUAUAUAUAUAUAUAUAUAUAUAUAUAUAUAUAUAUAUAUAUGCAUGUAUGUAUAUAUAUAUAUAUAUAUAUAUAUAUAUAUAUAUAUAUAUAUAUAUAUAUAUAUAUAUAUAUAUAUAUAUAUAUCACAAUCAAGGAACGGCCAUAAUAGGCCAUUCACCCACUAGAAAUAACAGCCAAAGCUUCAACCGCAAAAUAACAUUAAUUCCGUAAACCAGGAGAAAAUUAAAAAACAUUUACCCUGUAAUUUCUUAUACGAUGCACCGUUUCAUCUACUGUUUAAUGGUAAACUAACCUGAUUAAAUUAAAUCAAGCCAAUCUUCCAUAGGCCCUUAGAUUCGUCAGUAAGAAAUAGCCAGAUCGGAACAGAUAUUUUCACGAGGCAUUUCUGUCCCUGCCUCGGCAAUAUCUGACCUAAAAUUUUCAAAUCAUCGCACUCGCUGUUAUUUCUAGUGGGUGAAUGGCCUAUUAUGGCCGUUCCUUGAUUGUGAUGUUGAACUUAAAAAUGGUCUAUGACUAUUUAAUUUUUUCCCACUAGGCCGCUGGUGGCAAAAAAAUUCUACAAAAUUUUUUGCCACCCUAUAUUGAUUAAUUAUGAAUUUUCUGGUUAAUUCCGUAAUGGAAUCGGCGGCUUAUAUUUAGUUGCUGCCGAUAAAUUUGGCGCGAGUGCGAUGAUUUGAAAAUUUUAGGUCAGAUAUUGCCGAGGCAGGGACAGAAAUGCCUCGUGAAAAUAUCUGUUCCGAUCUGGCUAUUUCUUACUGACGAAUCUAAGGGGCUAUGGAAGAUUGGCUUGAUUUAAUUUAAUCAGGUUAGUUUACCAUUAAACAGUAGAUGAAACGGUGCAUCGUAUAAGAAAUUACAGGGUAAAUGUUUUUUAAUUUUCUCCUGGUUUACGGAAUUAAUGUUAUUUUGCGGUUGAAGCUUUGGCUGUUAUUUCUAGUGGGUGAAUGGCCUAUUAUGGCCGUUCCUUGAUUGUGAUGUUGAACUUAAAAAUGGUCUAUGACUAUUUAAUUUUUUUCCCACUAGGCCGCUGGUGGCAAAAAAAUUCUACAAAAUUUUUUGCCACCCUAUAUUGAUUAAUUAUGAAUUUUCUGGUUAAUUCCGUAAUGGAAUCGGCGGCUUAUAUUUAUUUGCUGCCGAUAAAUUUGGCGCGAGUGCGAUGAUUUGAAAAUUUUAGGUCAGAUAUUGCCGAGGCAGGGACAGAAAUGCCUCGUGAAAAUAUCUGUUCCGAUCUGGCUAUUUCUUACUGACGAAUCUAAGGGCCUAUGGAAGAUUGGCUUGAUUUAAUUUAAUCAGGUUAGUUUACCAUUAAACAGUAGAUGAAACGGUGCAUCGUAUAAGAAAUUACAGGGUAAAUGUUUUUUAAUUUUCUCCUGGUUUACGGAAUUAAUGUUAUUUUGCGGUUGAAGCUUUGGCUGUUAUUUCUAGUGGGUGAAUGGCCUAUUAUGGCCGUUCCUUGAUUGUGAUGUUGAACUUAAAAAUGGUCUAUGACUAUUUAAUUUUUUCCCACUAGGCCGCUGGUGGCAAAAAAAUUCUACAAAAUUUUUUGCCACCUAUAUUGAUUAAUUAUAUAUAUAUAUAUAUAUAUAUAUAUAUAAACUAUACUAUAGUAUUUUAUUUAUAUACCCAUAGGCCUAGACGCAUUGUGACCAGCGAUGUGUAGCAACAUUUGAUGGUCUGGUCGGUCGCGUGAUCACGUGAUAUAUAUAUGUAUAUAUAUACAUAUAUAUACAUAUAUAUAUAUACAUAUAUAUAUAAACUAUACUAUAGUAUUUUAUUUAUAUACCCAUAGGCCUAGACUCUGAAGAAACUGCAGAGCUAAGCGUGUUAUUGACUUGAAACCCUGAGUAACCUCAUAGACCGAUCCGAUAUAUAUAUAUAUAUAUAUAUAUAUAUAUAUAUAUAUAUAUAUAUGUAUGUACUCGUGUAUAGUUUUAUAUUUAUAUAUAUAUACAUAUAUAUAUAUAUAUGUAUUUAUGUGUGUAUGUUUGUAUAUAAAACUAUAUCUGCUUAAAACUAUACAGCAGUAAUAUAUAUAAGUGUGUGUGUGUGUGUGUGUUUGAAGUUGUGUAAAGAUAUUGCAUAUUAAGAAGAAGGAAACAGAAUUUGGGAUAAUUAUUAAUCGCGCUUUCGUCCGAAAAACUCCACUGAAUGGACGAAGGCGUUAAUAAAGAAUUAUCCAAUAUUCUACCUCUUUCUUCUUGAUAUAUAUAUAUAUAUAUAUAUAUAUAUAUAUAUAUAUAUAAUUAUAAACACGGCUAAUUUGGCUAUUUCUCCGUAGACAGAAAAAAUGAUGAACAACUUUAAUCGAUUUCCGAAACUUAAUAGAUUCUCAUCAGGGACAUCUGCUUCAAUUUGACCAAUCCCAGAGAAACAAGCUGCCAAUCUGCUUUUAUACUUACCAGUUUCACUAACUACAGGGAGCUGGUGCUACUAUUUUGGCAUACCGUUUAUUUAGUAUCAGGGGCCUGUCAAGAAGGAUCUCGGUUCACACAGCAUCAAGAUAUUAUAUAAGAACUUUAUAUAGUAGGUUUAUAAACGGAGCUAAUGUACCUAUUUCUUCAUUGACUGAAAAGUGAGGAACAACUUAAUCAAUUUCCGAAUCUCAUUGGAUUCUCGUGAGAGAGGUCUCUAUGUACUUGACCAAUCUCAAAGUAACAAGCUGCGAUUCUGUUUAUAUGCUCAACAAUUUCAUUUGCUAUAGGAAACUGAAUCUACUAAUUUGCAUACCAUAAGUGUUAACACUUUAUCUAAUAUAUAUAUAUGUAAUAUAUAUGUCUUUAUAUAUACAGGGAGAAGGAGAGAAAGAGCAGGUGAAAGUGGAGAUACAUAUAUAAGAUAGACAGACAAAUGGACAGAUAGAUUGAUAGACAGACAGACAAACAGACAGACGGACGGACGGACAGACAGACAGACAGACAGAUAGAUAGAUAGAUAGAUAGAUAGAUAGAUAGAUAGAUAGAUAGAUAGAUAGAUAGAUAGAUAGAUAGAUAGAUAUCAAGCUGAGUAGAAAGUAAGCCAUGUUUUGAAACAUGAAAUUCAUCACAAAAUAUUUCAACAAUGCGGAAAUUUAAUUUAUGAAAGUAAGUACCAUUACAAUUAACAUAUUUGUACAAGUUCGUUUAUUACGGUAGCAUAAAAAUCUAGAGUUCUGGAGCUGAUGAACUCUUUGAAUGCAUUUUCAACAUCGGUUUGAUUUUUGAGCUCCUCUCGCAGGAAACCAUCAAGGUGCUUGAAAAAGUGGUAGUCCGUAGGAGAAAGGUCUGGGGAAUUAGCUGGUUGGGGAAGAACUCGGUAGUUAAGUUCCCUCAACUUCUGGAGCGUCAUCAAUGAAACGUGUGGUUGAGCACUGUCAUGAAGAAUGAUUGGCCCUCUUCUGUUGACCAGUCUGGGACGGAGGAGUAGCAAUUUUUCGUUCAUUUUGGCAAUUUCGUGGCAAUAUGUUUGUGCAGUAAUAGUUUUUCCGAGUUUUAAGAAGUUAUAGUGGAUGAGUCCAGCAACACACCACCAAAGAGUCACCAUAGCCUUCUUUUUGAAGAGCUCGGGUUUAGGGAAGGUUUUCGGUGCUUUAUUUUGAUUCAACAACUGCGAGAAACGUUUUUUAUUAUUGUACAGAAUCCACUUUUCAUCGCAAGUUACAAUACGGUCGAGAAAUGGAUCGGUCAGGAUAAGGAGAAAAAGCAACGAGCAAAUUUCAUAUCGGCGCAUUUUCUGAUUUUCAUUCAAAUCGGUUUUCAUUUAAAUGGUACCCAUUUGUCGAGCGUUUUUGAUUUUCCAAUCGCAUGCAAAUGGUUGCAGGCAGUUUUCUGGCUAAUUUCAAGUUCUUUUGCCAUUUCUCGAGUGGCUUUACGUGGCUCUUUUUCAAUGACGGUCUUUAAUUGACUGUCAUCGAUUACAGAUGGGCGUCCACUACGCUCACGAUCUUCAGGGCUCAUGUCUCCACUGCAAAAUCGUUUAAACCAUUUUCGAGCUGAUCACUCACUGGCCAUUUAUCCAUCAAACUUUUCGUUGAUAUCACGAGCAGUUUCAGCUGCUUUACGUCCUUUUUUGAAGUUGAAUAGCAAAAUUGCUCGAAUAACACGCUUUGAUAGUUCCAUUUCAGAUGAUUGUAACAGCGGUGAAAAAAUAUCAAUGCUAAUUUAUUGAUGCAUUUGGACAAGUCUAUGUCUGUAUUAUCAGACAACUGCAACAAAAAAAAUGUUUUAAAAAAAAUCAAAACUCUCAAAAAAUUCUUCAUGGUUCAAAACGUUGCUUACUCAACCUGAUAGAUAGAUAGAUAGAUAGAUAGAUAGAUAGAUAGAUAGAUAGAUAGAUAGAUAGAUAGAUAGAUAGAUAGAUAGAUAGAUAGAUAGAUAGAUAGAUAGAUCUUCGUGUCUCAUACGACUUUCUAAGUCCCUCAUACGUUCGGCUCUUCCAUUCCUAUGCCCACUUAGUAUUGCCUUCCCAGAGCAGCAUCAACUCAGUAACCAAUACUUUUUAUGAAGUCAGAUGCUUACUAUAAAUUCAAGGCAUUGUCUCACAAUAUGGCUUUGGAACAUCAAUGCUUCCUUCAAAUCCACCUGCAUUCAGAAGAUAGGGUGUCAGCUUUCAUUUGUUUACGUCACAGAGUUGACCUUUCUCGCACUUCUUGUAGAAAGACAACAGGGUGUAAUUUGGUUUUGAUUCAGAUUGCACUGACGUUACUGCAUUGUUACUUUAGUGCAUCAGUACUUGGUUAUGCCAUUAUUGAAUCCAUAUUAUGGUUCCUCGCAGAUAGCUGAAUUGAUGCCAGCAAUCGUCGGUGGUUGUGAACUAGAGUUAGGAAUAGGAAUAGAAUUGAUUAGAUAGGUUACUAAAAUCAAUAAUGCAGUGUCACAGAAAGAUCGAUACAUUUUGAUAAAGGUCUCACAUCAGAUGACCAUGCACAUAUCCAACAGUUGCAAGCGCACUCUCUUUCAAACUUGCCAGAUAUCGUGAUUGUCUACUUGGAUGCGUGUGUGAAACCAUGGUAUAGGUUUAUUUAUAUACUUGAUUCAAAUGCAGACAUACAUGCUCAUAUUUUGCCCAUGAAGGUAUGAAUUAUUGAAUGAAUGAAUCAAUGUAUGUAUGUAUAUAUGUAUGUAUGUAUAUAUGAGUUAUGACGUGGAUAUACACGUCUUGUUAAAAUGGUAUUACACAAAUAAAUAGUUGGCUGUGGUUAUCUAAAAAUAACCUAUCGCAGAAAAUAUAUACUAACACAGAACGCACUCUGUUCUACUCGAACGCAGGUACGAUACUUAGUAUUCACUGUUCAACUACCGACUGUUAAACUAACACUUGCUGAACUAACACGGUAAACCAACACGGUUGAACUAACACUGUCAACUACUCCACCUGACACUUCACUCAGUUCUUAUUUAUUGUAAUCGGUUAGUCCACCUUCAGUCACGUGGGGGUGUUCAGGAUUCUCCCAUAACAGUAUGUAUGUCAUUAUUCAGUUUAUUUCAAGAUUUCUUGCCAAUAGAGAAAGAACCGGUUUCUAACCUAGAAUUGGAAUUUCAACAUUAACAACAGGGGUGUUAUGUAUGUAUGUAUGAAUGUAUGUAUGUAUGUAUGUAUGUAUGUAUGUAUGUAUGUAUGUAUGUAUGUAUGUAUGUAUGUAUGUAUGUAUGCAUGUAUGUAUGUAUGUAUGUAUGUAUGUGCAGAUUUGUAUGUCUUAUGUAUGUAUUCUCAUGUAUAUAGUUACAUAUCUAGACAUGCUCAUAUAUAUUUAAAUAAUGAUCUUCUGGAAAGUUUUACGGACUUUUACAGUUCCAGUGAUGGAUUGGAUCUGUAGUCUUUGAAUUAGCUUUCUUCUUUCUGGUUUUGAGAAGCCUAAUUUCUCAAGAUUAGUAUUUAGCUAGUCUGUUAUAUAUCCCAGGACUUUAAUAAUUACAAGUAUGAACUUGAACUAGUAAUCUGGAUAGAGUAACUGCAAAUUUCUCAAUCGUUCAGCAUAGGUGUUCUCUUUUUCACUGAUUUUCAGCUUUAUGUUAACAUAUGCUGGACGGCUAAUUUCCACAACUGUACACAGUUUCACUUCUCUAUCCCAAAUUAUUAUAUCAGGUCUGUUGUGCUUACAUUUUUUUGAGGUCUUCACCAGUAUUCCUUUUCAUUAUGAGUGGCUAUGGCUUCUACCAUAUUGUGGGUUUUAUUUCUUUGUCCUCGGAAUUAUCCUUCCGACGGAGUUCAUUAUAGAGUGUCCUAGCUACAACGUCAUGUCUCAUCGGUAGAUAAUGCCGGGAUGACAUUUUCGAACAACUGCUUAUGAUGUGGGUGAUAUCUUCAGUGUAAAUUCCACAAAGUCACAUUUUACUGCUUUUCCUCCAUCUCUAUCCCUUUUAUGCAUCAGGUAUUUGGUUGAUAUUUCCUGUUCCUGGAUUGCAAACGCAUACCCUUCAAAGUGCGAGGUAGUAAUCCGGCUAUUGGUCCAUGAUAGACUGCUUUGAUGAUCGAUGUUACUUUCAUCACGGAGCUUUCUACCAACAUAUCCAUGCAUAAUCUUCUGCUCAUAUAGGCUCAUCCUUUCAUCUGAUGAUACGUUGCGGUAGAGUCGUGCGACUUCUUUGGGCAUGUAUUCUAGGUCAUCAGGCACAGAGUGUUGCUCAAGGAGCUGCCUUCCAAGUCUUGUAAUGUUAUCAGCCCCAUGUAUGCACUUCGACGCUUGAUGGUUGGAAGAUGUUGCCGAAGUGACAUGAUGCGACAUUCAAAAGCAUUUUGGAUUGAUGUUAAGCCUCUGUUGCAUGUAUGUAUGCAUGUAUAUGUGCAUGUAUGUACGUAUGCAUGUAGACAGGUAGAUAGAGAUAUGUAGACAGGCAGACAGACAGGCAGACGGACAGACUGAUAGGUAGACCCUCGUAUUUUAAACGACUUUCUAAUCCCCUCAUACUUUAGGCCGUUCCAUUCCUAUGCCCACUUUAUAUUGCCUUCUCAGGGCAGCAUGUAUGUAUGUAUGUAUGUAUGUAUGUAUGUAUGUAUGUAUGUAUGUAUGUAUGUAUGUAUGAUUUGUUUUUCUUUUUUAAUGAUUUGAAUUCUUAUAAUGUUUAUUCGUUUCUAACAAAGGAAACUAGCUCUAUCAACAACAAUAAAUUAUGAGUUAAACUUUAGAAAGCCCUCACCUACUUUCCUGAGUUUUACUUGCAGAAACUGUGUGUGUGUUUUAGCUGUUCAUUUUAGGUUUUUUAGCCGUCUACUCACCAAUUUUUGAGAUUGCUAAUUAGACAUCUAUUAGCAUAAGCAAAUACAUCGAUAAUUAUAGCUGUAAACGUGAGUCUGUAAUCUAUGUGGAAAUGCUAUAAGUUUCCAAGCAGAUAUCCAUAAAUAUUCUCCUUCGAAAUGAUUUUGAAAAUAUUCAUAUCUGCCGGGUAGCUUGACGUCUUUUCUGUCUCAAACAACUGUGUCAGGUCUUUUAUAUUUGUACUUGGAGAAAGUUUUGAGGGAAUGUUCUAUUAAUAUUCGUUGUGUUGAAACGUAUAUUUGUAUUCAGCAACCACAUCCAAGGGCAUUCAUUCCUGCUGAUGGCAUUGUAUAUCACUUUAUCAACUGCACGGCACCAAUGCUGUAUUGGAAGGGAAUAUCUUAACGACAGUUUAGGAAAGUUGCUAAUCGCAUAUCUAAUAUCUUCCACAGGACAUAUGACAUAAUCAAGACGCUAUUUCGAUAGCUUCUUGAUGCUUUAAAGGAUCGCUGUCUCUUUUGUUCAUUAAGUAUUCUGCAGCUAUCUCUCGUUUUUGUAUAGCACAGUGGUUCUUAACCGGGGUCUAUAUGGCCAUAGGGGGUCCAUAUAAGAUUUUGUUAAAAUUUAUGUGCAAUAAUUUGUUUAUUACUUCUACAAUACACCAAAUAUCUUAACUUUUUUUAUACAAUUCCAAAUAACAUUUAAUUAUAAAGAUAUAGUAGGAUUGUUUUUGAGCAUCGAAUGGCUAUGGAGAUCAGACCGAGUAAAAUAGGAAUCAAAUGGGUCCAUAGGUAUAAAUUGGUUGAGAAACGCUGGUAUAGAAGAAUGUGACAUAAUGUGGCGAUCACGAAUCGAAGAGAAGCUAAAUUUCUCGUUAGGUUUAAGUUAGCAUGAUCCUCAGGUUUAUGGAAAUAUAUCCAUCCAUAAACUUUGUAGUGGGGAAGAAGCUGUGCAAGGUGUUUCUCUUUCUUUUUAUUUUCAUAUACAGGGUGCUUUUUCCUUUUUUUUUCUUCUUUUUUUUUCUUCUUUUUUUUUCGAGGUACGCUAAUUCUGGGGUUACGCGAGAGGUCAUCAUGAACUGUAUGUUUCUUGCGAUGUUCAUUUCCGACCCGAACAAUGUCAUUCAAUUCCCUUUCACCACUUGGUUGAUGCAUUUAGCUUCGCUGCCGUUGUGUGACAGAUAUUUUCCGAGCAAUAGCAUACUGUACUCAAAAGGUGUCUGUCUGCUCUGCUUCUCUUCCACUUUUUUGUGAUAGAGCUUGUCGAUAUCUCUAAUUUUGCGGAAGCUUCCAUUCGAUGUCAGGAUCUUACUGUUUUAAUAUCUUGAGAGUAGAUUUCAUCUAGAGUCAAAGUAUCUUAAAUGUUGGUAUCAGUAUUACAGAAUUGAUACUUUAAAGACUGUAAAAAAUAAAAUUUCACUUUACGAUGAAAUACAGUAUCCCACAAUAUCUAAUAUAUUUUCCAAAAUUUGCUAUAAUAUUAUUUACUCGCUUGCUUUAUCUUUAUUCGCAGCACCUUUGUAUGAUACACUUUCAUUAAUGUCUGGGUAUUGAUAGUAUUCGUUGAGUGAAGCAGGAGAGAGAUGGGGGAGAGGGAGGGAGGGCGAAAGAGAAAGCAUUAAUGUAGAGGCUGAUGUUGAAAAAUAAUGCUUCUGUUACAACUAUCAAAUAUGACUCUUUCUUUUGAACGAAUUCCAACCCUAUGUCAACUAAAAAAAAUUAGUUAAUAAGAUUAACUGCUUCUCAGCAUUGUAAUUCACAACCUGUAUAAGGAGGAAAUAUAACCAUGGUUGUAGAUUAAAUUUGAGGAAACAGGUCUGAAAGAGACACUUCUGGAACAUGGUACAAACUCAAUAAAUUGUAUGAUAGGAGGGAGCGCAUGGCUCAGUGGUUAGAGCGUCGAGCUUAUAAUCAUGAGGUAAUGAGUUCGAUUCCCGAACCGGGCUGUGUGUUGUGUUCUUGAGCAAGUUACUUUAUUUCACGUUGCUCCAUUUCACUCAGCUGUAGAAAUGCGUUGCGACGUAACUGGUGCCAAGCUGUAUCGGCGUUUGCCUUUCCUUUAGAUAAUAUCGGUGGUGUGGAAGCUGGUAUGCAUGAACGAAUGCUGGUCUUCUAUAAACAACCUUGCUCGGACUUGUGCUUCAGGGGCGAACUUUCUAGGUACAAUCCCAUGGUCAUUCAUGACUGAAGGGCGUCUUUACCUCCUGUUACACAAUAUUUUGUUAAGAGCUCGUUCCCUUUCCGUAUUUAAGAAACUUUUAGGUAGAUGCAACAGAGAUUUAAUGGAGGUUAGGAUUUUGCUUGAUAUUUUAUGUAACAGACUGAUUAAAGUGGUGAAGGAGAAAGCAAACAAAGUCAAAAUGGAAUAGCUGAUGAUAACUUUCAUUAGUGGCUCCAUUGAUGAUAUUUGUUGAAAUACAAUAAUUAAGAAUAAGAGGACACAGAACCUUUAAUCUGUUGAUGUUAAGUAUGUAAGUAUAUGUUUUAGCUAUAGUCUAGGUCAGAGAAAAGUGAUAAAUUAAUUAACUAUAGUAAGUUUUGGUUAGAGGUUAACCUAGAAAGUUUCAGAAGCAUUUAGGAACGUAGGAUUACGAUUUCUACUACAAUGAAGUUGGGCAUGUUUACAUAGGAAAUUUAAAAUAUUAUUAAAAAUGAGGAUCUGAAAAGAAUUAUUAUAAAAGAUACAAAAUACAGGGAAUCUUUAGGAUUAGUAGGCAUAUGUUAGUGGAGGCUAUUUUAAAAUCGAUUGGGAUUUUAUAGUUUAGGUAAGUCUAAAAUAUAGGGUUAGACUAGAGGAAUUUCUAAAUUGGUGGAAUAAAAUAAGAAGUGUGUAGUUGAGAUAUAUUAGAAGGAUGCACAGCUUGAUAGGAAGCAAAUCAGUUUUAAGUAAACCUGAAGCUAAGAAAUAUAUUAGAGAGUUGCAUGAUACAUUAUAGUACCUACAGAUAAAGAGUCAGAAAAUUUUGUUAUUAGUGGUUCCAAAGUGGCAGAGAAAGAUAUGGUUAUCCCAACAUUUUUUUGAUUCCUAAAUUACACAAGGCACCAUAUAAAAGUAUGUUUAUUGCAGGUACUAGGAAAUGCACAAUCAAUCAGCUAUCUUUAUCGCUUAAUGAAGCUUUAAAUGUGGCUAGGCAGUACUUUAUGAGGUACUGCGAAAUAAUCUUUAGCAAUAUAUAUUGUCCACAAAGAAAUUACGAGUGCCAUUGGAAGCCUUUGCUGUGAUAGAUUUUUGUAAGAGAAAUUAUUGGGGAUUUGAAGCCAAAUUAUACAUGGUGUCUCCUUGUAAUUUUCGUUUUGAAAUAUCUAUAAUAUCGUUGCUUUAUUAGUAACCAGUAUGAGGAUUGUUAACUAGGCUUUGAAAGCCUUUCUAAGGCAGCAAAUAGUUUCGAUAAGUGCAGUGAUUCAGCAAAUAUUAGUGAAGAAUAAAAUUGAUUUCCUUUCUGUAAUUAAAACACAUUACAAGGUAUUUGCGGUGUUUUGUUACUUCAGACUGUUUAUCGUAGAUUUGUUUAUUGAAAGUUCUUCGACGCAGCCCCUUUUGGUCGCUAUAAUAUUUGACUUACAGAGGUUGAUAAGUAUUUGGUUGAGACAGUUUUUGCAAAGACUGUACAUAAUGUUUAGGAACGCAAUAAGCCUUAUUGUAUUCUGCCAAGUCAGUAUCUUCAUUCUUGGCUACAAGAGUUGUUUCAUGUUGUGGCUAACCAAUUUGGUAAGCCAAUCUAAGCUCUCCAUUGUUCUUUUAAAUAAGCAUCUAGCACCUUCUUGAAGAAGGUCAACAUCUCAUAGCAAUAUCCAACUAUUAAGUCUCUUCUUGGUUCCCUCCCAUUAUACGAUUCAUCCACGGUAUUAGCGAAACUUUCACAGUUGAUUGUGAAAGUUUUACUUUGAUGUUGGUACAUUAUUCUUCUGUGAUUCUAUAUAGCCAUGAUGCUCUUUGAUUGGAAUCCAUCUUUUCACUUCAGAUCAUAGACCAAUAUGAUGAGAAGGGGCUAUUUUUGCAAAGAAAUUGCUUUUCUUCAUCCUCCGAUAUAGUUUCUGCAUUAACAGCAAACAUAUGGUUAAUGCUGGUUGGUUGAAGUAGUUUCUCUUUCGAUAAAGACUUUUUCUUCAUCGAAUCUUCUGAAUUCGUAUUUUCAAGUUAUUUAUUUCCUUUCUAGAGUUUGAAGUAUAGAAUCUCCGUAUAUUUUUGUCAAUUUAUUUUAUUAGAUUUAGUUAUUGUGCAGUAAACUUAAUACACACCUUACACCUCAUAACGGUACCUAAAUGUCCACUUUAGCGGCGCAGUUGUUUAUAAUUUCUUCUUGUUUUGUAAAUCCCUUAUGGUAGCUUUAGUCGAGUUAUUUCAUUAGUACGUGCAGAUGGUAGCAGCUGCAUGCUAUUAUUGAUUGUCUUCUAUGUAUUAUCGCAUAUUUUCAUAGAGCCACCGUCGAUAUUUUCAAUAACUUCUAGCAUCAGAAUGCAUAUUCUCCCUAUCUUCUACUACCAAAAAGUGAUCUGCUGUAGAUUGUUAGCUAAGAGAAAUUGGAGAAAGAAUUCUUAAACUAAGGUAUGUAUGUUUGUUAGUAUGUGUGGGUAUAUAUGUAUUGAUUUAUGUAUGGUGAACGUAUGUAUGUAUGUAUGUAUGUAUGUAUGUAUGUAUGUAUGUAUGUAUGUAUGUAUGUAUGUAUGUCUAUUUGCAUUCAUAUCUGAAUGUAGGUACGUAUGAAAUGCAAGUGUGUGUGUGUGUGUGUGUGUGUGUAUAAAUGUAUAUAUACAUACAUAUAUAUAUAUAUAUAUAUAUAUAUAUAUAUAUAGGGAAAGUUUACGAAAAAAAAACAAAGGACGAAGACAGGUGGUGUACAAAACAAACAAACGUAUAAGUAUAACGCUCAGGAAUAGAAAAAGUCUUUUACGUUUCGAGCCUACGCUCUUCUACAGAAAGGUACACUGAAAAAACAAGGAGAGGAAAAAUGUAUCUUUCUGUAGAAGAGCGUAGGCUCGAAACGUAAAAGACUUUUUCUAUUCCUGAGCGCUAUACUAAUACAUUUGUUUGUUGGUACACCACCUGCCUUCGUCUUUUGUUUAUUUUUGUAAACUUUCCCUUUAUAUAUAUAUAUAUAUAUAUACACACACACACAUGCACAAUUAAAAUACGAACACAUACAUAUAUAGACAUACAAACAGAUAUGGCGUUGUUGAACAGCCAUCAAUGUCACAUGAUAAAGAUAGACAAGUGUUCAUGACAACGACUACUACAUUUCACGUUAUUUUAUUAAUGAGCUUAUAAGUUUGUGCCAAAAUAACGUUACAGAAUUAGUUAUUGAGAACAUGAGCUUCUUGAAGAGAGUCUGACGGUAGUAGUAUUUCUCCAAGGGACAUGCAGUCGUACUAUUCCAAACUAGGACAUCUUUGUAGGUCUGCAUGUUCAUGCGCAUAUGUAUGUGCAGGAGUGUGUGUGUACGUAAAUAGAUAAAUAGAUAUGUGUAUAUAUGUAUAUAUGUAUGUAUGUGUGUAAGUAUGUAUGCAUGUAUGUAUAUAUGUAUGAAUGCAUGUCUGUCUGUCUGCAUGUAUGUAUGUAUGCAUGUAUGCAUGUAUGUAUAUAUGUAUGCAUGAAUAUGUGUAUGUGUGUAUAUAUGUAUAUAUGUGUGCAUGUAUGUAUACAUACAUAUAUAUAUGUAUGUUUGUGUAUAUAUAAAUAUACAUACAUACUAUUUAGCUUUAAUGUUUUCCUUGAUUCACACAUUUGAUUACAGCCAAUGCUGGGGCACCGCUUUGAAGAAUUUUUAGUCGAAUCAAUCGACCGCACUACUUUCUUUAAAAGCCUGGAAUUUAUUCUAUGGAACUGCUACGUUAUGGGAACCUAUAUAUACCAACACCGGUUGUCAAGCGGUAAUGGGGAAUACACACACAUACACACACACGCACCCAUGUAUAUACGACGGGCUUCUUUCAGUUUCUGUUUACCAAAUCGACUCGGAAGGCUUUGGUCGGAGCGAAAGCUAUAGUAGAAAACAGCUACCAAGGUGCUACGGUGUGGGACUAAACCCGGAACCAUGUGGCUAAGUUCACCAGAGAAAGAGAGAGGAGGGAUGGAGGGAGAGAGUGAGGGAUAGAGGGAUAGAGAGAGAUGGGGAGGAAGAGAGAUAUAAGUGUGAGCAAAACAUGGUGGAGAAAAUAGUAUUAUGGGAAAGUAAACAAAACGACACCGGGUAAGGACAAUAAAGCAUAUAUACAUAUAUAUACACACACAAUGGUCUUCCAGACAGUAUCAGUCCACUAAAGAAAUUCACUCAUUCGAUCCAGGUGCUGCGCAGUGGGACUAACCCGAAACUGCGUAGGUGUAAUGCUAGGUUCUUCAUCACACAGUCAUGCUUGUGCCGAUAAGUGGAAGAUUCACGGAAAAUUUUGUUUCAGACUUGGUAUAAAAGAGAGGAGAAACAAAAUGAACCAAAGCUACUGUCGGAUCCAAACAUAUCUUCUGCCUUUAUUGAUAAGCGUGUUUCUUGCGCUCUUGCUGCUUGUAUUGACCUAUUUCGUUAGAUUCUUCAAAUAAUAGUCAAUAUAAGAUUGCAGGUGUGACGAAAGGACUUUGACAAAUCAAAUUAUUAACUAAUUGAUUAAUUAAUUUGUUAAUUAAACGUCUAAUUAGGUUGUUGACGCCAUAAGAAAAAUUUUAGAAACUUUCGAGAGAACAUGAAAUAAAAAUUUUGCGGAGAUGGGGUGGAAUGUGGAAGGCUACUCGAGCCUUCAACUUUUUCUUUCCAAAAGGUUCUUCAGCCCUAUAUUUACAUGCUAUCAUUUAUAGUUUAUGUGUUUCAAGACACUGUUCCAAAACAAAAAAGAAUUACCUCAUUACGUAAUUGAUAAUUAAAAGCCUGAUAUGACAGUGCAUGCAUUUAUUAACUGUAUGGCAUUCUCAUAGUACAGUAGAUUAUGCAUACAUACACACAAAUGCGCGUGUUUAAGCAUAAAUAAAUACAUCCAGGCAUACAUGCAUGCAUGCAUGCAUAUAUAUAUAUAUAUAUAUAUAUAUAUAUAUAUAUAUGUAUACUAUAUCUACUAUACUGGUUACAUAUAUCAUAUCAUACUUUGACACGGUGCAGGCUGAGAUCUGCGUUGAUCCCUCUGACAUUAAAUAAAAGUGCUAGGGCUCACGGCAUACAAAUUAGUAUCUACAGUUUUCUGUAUAGCUUCUGCAAUUGUUGAGUAUAGAAAGAGAUUGGAUGCUUGCUUCUCUGGAACGCUUCUGAUGAGAAUCCAAUAAGAUUCAAAAGCCGAGUAUGGUUGCUCAUCAUAUUUUUCAAUCUACAGAGAAAUAACGAAAUUAGCCCUGCUUAUAUAUCUACUAUAUAGGUUACAUACACACACACAUGGAUGCAUGCAUGCAUAAAUACGUACAUACAUACAAACAGACAGACAGACAGACGGGAGAAGAGAAACUGUGUACAGUUGUGGAAAUCAGCUGCCCGGCAAUGUUAAUAUCAAACUAAAGGUCAGUGAAAAGGGAAAUACUUUCGGUGAAAUAUUGAGGAAUCUACAGCUAUUCUAUCCAAAUUACAAGUUCAAGUUCAUACCCGUAAUUAUUGAAGCACUGAGAUAUGUAACACACUGUCUAACUAUCAAUCGUGAGAAAUUUGGCUUCUCAAAGCCAGAAAGGAGAAAGCUAAUUCAAUGACAACAGAUCCAAGCCGUCACUGGAACUGUAAAAAUAUGUAAAACUUCCAGGAAGUUUAUCACUUAAGUAUAUACGAGCAUGUCUAGAUAUGCAAUAUAUAUGCAUUUGAAUACAUACAUAAAACAAUACAUACAAAUCUGGACACAUACAUACAUACGUACAUACAUACAUACAUACAUGCAUGCAUACAUACAUACAUACAUACAUACAUACAUACAUACAUACAUACAUACAAAAAUACUCUGUUGAUGUUGAAAUUCCAAUGAAGGAGCCUUGGAGCUAGGUUAGAAACCGACACAUUUUCUAUUGGCAAGAAAUCUUGAAAUGAACUGAAUGACAUACAUACAUACAUGCAUACAUACAUACAUACAUACAUACAUACAUACAUACAUACAUACAUACAUACAUGCAUACAUGCAUACAUACAUACAUACAUACAUACAUACAUACAUACAUACAUACAUACAUACAUACAUACAUACAUACAUACGUUCAUACAUAUGCAUGCAAUGUAUGCGUUUUCUUGUCUGCAUGUACACAGGUGUAUAAUGUGCGUAUUGUCACUAUGUGUAUAAAAAUGUGCAAGUAUAAAUAAAUUUCAAAGGUGUAUAUGCCUGUUUAUCUCUGUCAUCAUGUAUGUCGGUCUCUUGCUGUAUGAAUGUGCGUGUAUACUUUUAGUCCUAAUAAAGUUUAUCAAUACGAAACUACCACGCCCAGUGACAUCUCUCCACCCACUCACGUCACCUAUAAACUUUCAAUCCAAUACAAUAUCCUUUACGCCACACUUCCUCAGUCACCUCUCUACAAACUUCUUCAGUUGCUCACCACCACCACCACCACCAAUGAACUCAGUGACCUUCAAGGUAAAAUCAAAUUUAGCCAAACUUUUACUCAGUCACACCUUAGGGUAAGUCAAUUACACCGAUCCAAUGCUCAACAGGUACUUAUUUUAUCGACUCCGAAAAGCUGAAAGGUAAAGUUGACAUCGGCGGAUAUUUGAACAUAAAGACGGACGAAAUAGCACCAAACAUUUUGGCCGGUGUUCUUCUGCCAGCUCACUGCCUUAAUAACAUGAGUAUUAAUAAUAAUAAAUAAUAAUAAUAAUAAUAAUAAUAAUAAUAAUAAUAAUAAUAAUAAUAAUAAUAAUAAUAAUAAUAAUAAUAAUAAUAAUAAUAACAACAACAACAACAACAAUAAUGUGUGUGUGUGUGUGUGUACAGGCUAUGCACUAGGAAGUUAAAUCCACUUCAUCUAUUUAUCUUGACUGAUUUUCAAACCAUGACAUCCGGUUUUAAAGUCACUCGAACGGCUGUGACCAAAAACAGUAAUGCUUCGAGCGCUUCAGAUGCGAAGAAAUCGGUGAAACUUGGAAGGGAGCGGUUUCUGAUAUACAUACCGACUUUACAGCGUCACAAAAUUAGGGUAAAAAGUCAGGCGAGGAAUGUCUUACGUAAUUUCCCAAAUUUAUAUACUUAAUCUGUUACUCACACGCGCGCGCGCACAUACAUGCACACACACACACACACACGCAAAUACACAUACACAUGCACACAUGCAUAUAUAUAUGGAAGAAGAGAUGAGACAUAAUUUCUGCCCUUGCUUGAAGACCAUCCAAGGGGUCCUAAUUUUUUCUUGAUGUAGAGGGUUACAGUCUCCGAAUCAUUCUAUCUCUCUCUCUCACUUUCUCCUCUCCCUCUGCCUUCCAUCUCCCUCUCCCUUCCAUCUCCCCUCCCUCCUCUGCUCUCCCUCUCGCUCUCCCUUCCAUCUCCUCUCCCUCUGCCCUCCCUCUCGCUCUCUGUCCUCCCUUUUCCUCUGCCCUCCAUCUUUCUCUGCCCAACAUCUUUCUCUACCCUCCAUCUUUUUCUGCUGUCCCACUCUCCCUUUCUCCCUCCUUGUUUCUCUAUGCGUCUAUUCUUUUUCUUCUUUCAUUCUUUCUUUCGUUUUGUCUAUCUAUCUAUCUAUCUAUCUAUCUAUCUAUCUAUCUAUCUAUCUAUCUAUCUAUCUAUCUAUCUAUCUAUCUGUCUGUCUGUUUAUCUAUCUAUCUAUCUAUCUAUCUAUCUAUCUAUCUAUCUAUCUAUCUAUCAUCUGUCUGUCUGUCUAUCUAUCUAUCUAUCUAUCUAUCUAUCUAUCUAUCUAUCUAUCUAUCUAUCUGUCUAUCUAUCUAUUUAUCUAUCUAUUUUUCUACCUCUCUAUCUGUGCUUCCCUCUCUUUCUCUUUUUAUCUCCCCUCCUCUCUCUCUCUCUCAGCCUCACCCUCACCCUCUGUAUAUAUACAGUUAGAGGAAUGAUAUAAUAUCCAGGUACAUACCGAAUUUCUCUAUGUAAAAAAUAUCAAGACUGGUUCCUUUAGAUGGUACGUUUUGUGGUAAAUUUUCUUUAACUCCCAUCUGACGUUACAGUUUAUUCCUGGCUACUUAGAGUGUAAAGUACAAUAUUAAUAAUGAGAAUGAAGAAUUUGAAGUCAAACUUUAUGUUUCUUUACAGUUGGUUUAUUCCCAAUAAUUGUCCUACACGUGUUUCCAUCACAUUAAUUGCAUAUUGUUGCAUAUUUAUAUGUAGCGAUUUAUGCAUUAUUAGUAUGAUUACUGUGACAUUGUUCGAAGAGGAAUUUUCCUCAGUUAUUAUUUUGAAUUAGGCUUGGUAGUGGUAGUAGUAAAGUGUGGCAUUCACAAACUAGCUGUUUUUCACAUUAGUUGUGAAAAACAGCUCGUCGAUGAGCGUCAUGGUUUACUACCGCUCGGUUUCCUACAUCAUUGGUUUACUUCAUCAUUUACUACAGCUGUUUCAAACGAAUUUUUUAUUAAAUGAAGUUAGCCAGGAGUCUUGUUGAUUCUUGGAAUGUUUUUAAAGAUGUUUAAUUUGUGUAUAUUCACCUGAAGAAAACGGUUCUUUUUCGCACGAUGUAAUAACUUUAUUCUUCAAUAAAAAAAAUUCGUUUGAAACAAUGUAGUGAAAAUACCAAUUUCCAUCCGUUGUUUCAUAUAUAUAUAUAUAUGUAUGUAUAUGUAUGUAUAUAUAUAUAUAUGUGUGUAUAUAUAUAUAUGUAUAUAUAUAUAUAUAUAUAUAUAUAUAUAUAUAAGUAUGUAUACAUAUAUGUGUAUCUAUAUAUAUAUAUAUAUAUAUAUAUAUAUAUAUAUAUAUAUAUAUAUAUAUAUAUAUAUAGUAUGUAUACAUAUAUGUGUAUCUAUAUAUUAUAUACAUAUAUAUAUAUAUAUAUAUAUUAUGCUAUUAUACAAAUUAUAUACGUCUUUAUUUUUUUUUUUGCAAUUUACUUAAUCAUUGACAUUUUAUUGUUAUUUUAAUUUUGAUAUUUCUAUUAUAUGUAAUUUUCUAGAUGGUGUAAUUUAAUUGUUCAUUUUGAAUUGAUGUAAGGUGGAUUUUUUCUAAUUUUUUAUAUAUAUUAUAUUGUGUGAAAUUUGAUUUAGUAUUUCUAAAUUGAAAUUUUUUCCUUGUAAGUUUGGGAUUUUAUUCCCUCAAAUAAUGAUAAUAAUAAUAAUAAUAAUAAUAAUAAUAAUAAUAAUAAUAAUAAUAAUAAUAAUAAUAAUAUAUAUAUAUAUAUAUAUAUAUAUAUAUAUAUAUAUAUAAAAUAACAUAUAAAUAUAAAAAUAUACAUACAUAUACACACAUAUAUAUAUAUAUAUAUUUGUAUAUAUAUAUUUAAAAUUUAUAAGUUUAAAUUAUUUAAAUAAUUUUUUUGAUUUUAACUUUUAUAUUUUUAAAAUUAAUUUUAUGUAUUGGCUUAUGUUUUUCACUGUUUGAUUUGCCUAAUAGUGGUUUUUAUCUCUAAUAUAAUAUAAUAUAAUAUAAUAUAUUUAUACUAUAAAAUUGGAUUUAAUCCUAAAUCUAAUUUUUCCCUGUAAGUUUGGAUUUAUUCCCUAAUAUUAUUAUGAUAUAUAUAUAUAUAUGCAUAUAUAUGUAUGUGUGUAUAUAUAUAUAUAUAUGCAUAUAUAUGUAUGUGUGUAAAUAUACAUACAUAUAUAUGUGUGUGUGUAGGUAUGAGUGUUUUUAUGUGUAUAUAUACGUGUGUAUAUGUGCGUGUGUGUGAAGAUUGUAAGAGAGAAGAAAGGGGAGAGGGAAGGAAAGAUAGAGAGAGAAUAUAUAGACGUCAGUACAUUGGUGUCUUAUUUCUUGUCCUAUGUCCGAUCUACGGAAAGCCAAUUCACAGUAAUGUGACAAAUAACAAUUGACUGCUUGAAUCACGUGAUUCAAGACACUUGCAUCCAUCCUUAAGAGCUUUCAGCGUCACUCCUUGUGGAUUUCCUUCUGGGCGUUGCUGCAAAUUUGCUAAUAGCAUGAGAUUUUUACUCAUGAAUCCAUAAGUGUCUCCAUUUUUAAUACUGUGAGAAUUACAGAACAUAAUUAGGCGCUAUUAUGCUGGCAAUAACAAGAAAUAACUGCAAACAGGUUAAAGAUUUUAAUAUUUUAAUUAAGUUGACAAGUAGAAGAAAGAACUGCAAGCAGGAUAAGGAUUUAUUGAUUAUCAUUACAGAAGUAUAUACGUACAUUAUUUACUACAGUUGCAGUAGCGAUUAUUAGAAUUCACUAAGGGCAUUUACGAGAAUGUACACAGAUAAAUACAAAUUAGCAGAAUUUAGAAUUUAGAUGAAGUAAAUUUAUAGAAGUCCCCAUCUGUACAAAAAUGAAGUUAGUGUUAGUUUUAAUAUAUUUAAGGGCGAUGGGCUGUCAGAAAUGUUAGCACGUCAGGCAAAAUGCUUUGUGGCAUUUCGUCCGUCUUUACGUUCUGCGUUCAAAUUCCGCCGUAGUCGACUUUGCAGUUCAUCCUUUCAUGGUCGAUGAAAUAAGUACCAGUUGAGUCCUGGAGAUGAUGUCAUCGAUUUAUCCCCUCCCUCGAAAUUGCCGGACUUGUGCCUAAAUUUGAAACCAUUAUUAUUAUUAUUAUUAUUAUUAUUAUUAUUAUUAUUAUUGGGCGAGCUAGUAGAAAUUGUUAGCACGCCGGGAAAAAUCCUUAGCGGCAUUUCAUGCGUUUUUACGCUCUCAAUUCAAAUUCUGCCGAGGUCGACUUUGCUUUUCAUCCCUUCGGGGUCAAUAAAAUAAGUACCAGUCAGCACUGGGGUUAAUGUGAUGAAGUUACCUCUCCCCCGAACUUUUUGGUCUUGUGCAAAAAUUUAAAAUCAAUAUAGUUACUGUAGACAGGGCUGUUACCAGGGCAUUCAGUUACUUAAGACAGUCCUUUAAUGCGCAUUCCCUUCUGUCAGCCCUACAAUAUGCGCUUAUAUUUGAAAUCGCCGCCUGUUCACUGACAAAAUUCCGUGCUGAGAUGCAGCACGGAACUUUGUCAGUGAACAGGUCGCGAUUUCAAAGUGACGAAAAUAUUUUGAUAAAUUAAAUUUAAAUGUUGAAGUGAAUCUAGCGGUUUCUGUGUGUUUUUAAUGGCUUAUAAACACCUUACACGCUACAAGUGUUUGCACGCACGAACACACACACACACACACACACACACACACACACACACACACACACACACACACACACACACACACACACAUAUAUGUGUAGGCAAAAAUGCUAGUUCUAAAAUAUUUCUAAGAGAGCAGCGCAGUAGUUGUACUAACAAGUAAUGUUCGUAGACACUUCAACAUAGCUGUCAGUUCGAACGGACUUGACUGCGAUUUUUUAACCCCAGGAGGAUAUCCCUAGCUAGUUAACGGUGCACAGCUGCAUCCGAGAUAUUGUGUGCAUGAGAGCGAACCCCUACCACCUUCUACGACCGGACCAGCAGACCAACAUGGCUUCAGGCUAUUUAUAUAUAUAUAUAUGUAUGUAUGUAUGUAUGUAUGUAUGUAUGUAUGUAUGUAUGUAUGCAUGUAUGUAUAUAUAUGUAUGUAUGUAUGCAUGUAUGCAUGUAUGUAUAUAUAUGUAUGUAUGUAUGCAUGUAUGCAUAUACAUACAUAUAUAUAUAUAUAUAUGUACGUAUGUGUAUAUAUAUAUAUAUAUAUAUAUAUAUAUAUAUAUAUAUAUAUAUAUAUAUAUAUAUAUAUAUAUAUAUAUAUAUAUAUAUAUAUAUAUAUAUAUAUCUAUAUCACCAUCAUGAUAGAGGCCAUGCGCUUCCUGCGAGCAUGUCUGAGGAGUGCCAAUAUUGUCAAGUGCAAGCGUCGGCGCGAAACAAUCGUCGGAAACAUUCUGACCAGUUAGUUAUAUGCCAUAACCGGUAACAUACUGUUUGACAUAUGUUUUAACUUUUACUCGUUUCAGUGAUUGGACUGCGGUCAUGCUGGAGCACCACCUUGAAGAGUCUAAUCGAACAUACUGAGUCCAGAACUUAUUAUUUUAACCAUCGUACUUAAACAAUCGGUCACUUUUGGCCGAACCGCUAGCCUAUAGGUUCGUAAAAAUCAUCCGCCGGUUUUUCGGUGGUGGGAGAGAAACACAAUCACAAGGACACACACACAUAUAUACCCGCAUCAUGUAUAUAUAUAUAUAUAUAUAUAUGUGCGUGUGUGUGUGUGUGUGUGUGUGUGUGUAUGUAUGUAUGUAUGCAUGUAUGUAUGUAUGUAUGUAUGUAUGUAUGUAUGUAUGUAUGUAUGUAUGUAUGUAUGUAUGUAAGUAUGUCAGGUCACUUUCAAGUGCUACUGGUAACAUGUAGCCCAGUACAACCUGUUGCAUUGUCGGGUCGUCGGCGACUAAACCGGCAACCCCACCAAGCUUGCUUGGUGAGGAGGGUGUUUAUUGGACACCCUGCAGGAUGAAAAACAAAACCCGUCAAAGGGCGGAGGAACAUUUGAGAGUCAACGGCCAUCCAAUAAAUGUCUUAAGGAUGUAUUAUGCGCGGGGUCAUAGAAAUAAUCGGACUGAAUACCCGAUCGCGCGGUUAAACCAUUAGGAGUGAAGGACUCCUAGCCUUUGUUAGGGCAUCCUUCUAGGAGAAGGUAACUCAGUUAACUGGGAUAACUCCGACAUAAAACCUGCGGCUCAGUGGUUGCUGAUGAUGUUGACUUGUUCUUCUUUUCGGAUUAUGACUGCUGUUGCUCAGUGAGUGGGAUUGACUCAGUGCACGGCCUUUCCUCACUUUAAAAAAAAAUCUUGCACAGGCAUUGCACGAUAACAACAUUGAUUAAGCUUCGUGCAAUGGCCAUACUCGAUAACGAGGGGGCAGCCACCAUGUAAGUAUGUAUGUAUGUAUACACACGCAGUUGAAAUUUACAGAAAAACAAAAGACGAAGACAUGUGUAUAAGCAACACACGCGCAGGGGAUCUUUCACUUUCCCUCAACCACAUCCACUCAAAGGUUUAGCUAGUAGAAGGUAAUUGCCCAAUGUGUCACGUAGUGGGACUGAACCCGAAACCAUGUGGUUGAGAAGCAAAGUUCUUACCACACAGCCACAUCUGCAUACACACACACAUACAUACACAUAUAUAUGUAUGAAUGAUUGCAUGCGCGCAUGGGUGCGUGCAUGUAUGUAUGUAUGUAUGUAUGUAUGUGUGCAUGUAUGUAUGUAUGUAUGUAUGUAUGUAUGUAUUGAAUGUAUGUAUGUAUGUAUGUAUGUAUGUAUGUAUGUAUGUAUGUAUGUAUUUAUUUGAGAGGUAUGUACAACUCGUCAGAAACGCCAUUGACAACGAAGAAUCAGGAGACGGCAACCAUCUGUGAAGGUGGAGCAAUCAGCUGUCUAUCUAUCUAUCUAUCUAUCUAUCUAUCUAUCUAUCUACCUAUCUAUCUAUCUAUCUAUCUAUCUAUCUAUCUACCCUAUACAUAUAUAUAUAUAUAUAUAAUCUCUGAACGAGGUAUAGACAGUAACUACACGACAAUGUGAAGUAUAUUUGCCAUCUAAAUAUGGCUAACCACUAAGCGUGGAUGUUACUGUAGCUUGUAGCCCCAGGAGAACAUCUUCUCCAGCUGGCUAUUGACACACUUUCUGUAUCGGUAUUUGCAAAGGGAGGUCAUCCUUCCCUCGUCAACCUAAGUGAUGCGCACGGACUGCAGUUUCUGGGUAUUGACCCGUCAUCAGCGCAUGACAGUCACCGGUUUUCGAUGGAAGGGUCCCAAUGCAAAUACAUAUAUCCUUUUUCAAGCGACUUUUCGCCACUGAUCUUGAAAAAGGAUAUAUGUAUUUGCAUUGGGACCCUUCAUCAUAUAUAUAUACAUAUAUAUAGGCGCGGGAGUGGCUGUGUGGUAAGUAGCUUGUCUACCAACCACACGGUUCCGGGUCCAGUCCCACUGCGUGGCACCUUGGGCAAGUGUCUUCUACUAUAGCCUCGGGCCGACCAAAGCCUUGUGAGUGGAUUUGGUAGACGGAAACUGAAAGAAGCCCGUCGUAUAUAUGUAUAUAUAUAUAUAUAUAUAUAUAUGCGUCUGUGUGUUUGUGUGUCUGUGUUUGUCCCCCUAGCAUUGCUUGACAACCGAUGCUGGUGUGUUUAUGUUCGGCAAAAGAGACCGAUAGAAUAAGUACUGGGCUUACAAAAGAAUAAGUCUCGGGGUCGAGUUGCUCGAUUAAAGGCGGUGCUCCAGCAUGGCCGCAGUCAAAUGACUGAAACAAGUAAAAGAGUAAAAGAGGAAAGAGUAUAUAUAUAUAUAUAUAUAUAUAUAUAUAUAUAUAUAUAUAUAUAUAUAUAUAUAUAUAUAUGUAUAUAUAUAUAUAUAUAUAUAUAUAUAUAUAUAUAUAUAUAUAUAAAUGUAUAUAUAUAUAUACUUUACGAUAAGAACUGUGUUUUCUCAGCUGUAAAUAGCUCUGAAUACACACCAACAGCUGUUGUACGCCAGUUGGACAUGCAUUUUAUGUGAGUCAGUUCGUUCAAAACCACUUGGUGAGCUGAUUUAAUAUUAUUACUGGGGAUCUAGCUUUUUGUGUAGUGGCGAUGGUGGUGGUGACGGUGUUACUGUUGUUGUUGUUUCUGUUAAUGGUAUGGCUAGUUUUGUUGUUGCUACUACUGUUGUUGUUGCUGCUGCUGCUGUUGUUAUUGUUGUUGAUGAUGAUCAAGCAGACCUGACAGAGUCGUAUCACUCAACUUGCUUCUACACACUCACAAACAUUCGCACUUAAUCUCUCUUUCUCUUCCUUCCUUGCUGUAUCUCGCCCCGCCUCUUCAUCUCUUUCUUCUUCUUCUUCUUCUUCUUCUUCUUCUUCUUCUUCUUCUUCUUCUUCUUCUUCUCCCUCUUCUCCUCCUCCUCCUCUUCCUCUCUCCCUCUAUCACCCUCUCCCUCUGUGUCCGUCUGUCUCUAUCUCUUCUCUCUCUCUCGUUCACUCUCUUGUCGAGACAGCGGACAUCUUUCCCUUGCGAUGUCUCUUUACGAUAAACGGAAGUGACAAACAUAAUCUCCAGCAGCACAACUGUCCUUCUUUUUAUGUUAUUGUUGUUGUUGUUGUUGUUGCCAACGUCAUCGUCGUCGUCGUCGUUGUUGUCGUCAUAUGUAAUAAAUUCCCAUCCGAAAAAUGUUUUGAGAAGAAAGCGGUAUUUACUGCCUGGUCUACAUCUAAGAUAUUUGGAGCCACAAGAAAUGAAGAACGUUUGCAAGGAUUAUAUGACGUCAUUGCAUAAUGACCAUGGAGUAAUUUAAAACACAAAUUUUAAUUAUGUUAUAAUUAUUUUUAUUCCAGAUGUUGUUAAGAUUGUCUUAAUAAUUACUUACACACACAUGUAUGGGUGUAAGUGUGUGCAUAUAAUAAAUAUGUGUACAUGUGAAUAUGUGUAGUAGUGUGUAAGUAUGUAUACGUAGCUAUGUAUGAAUGUAUGUGUGUGUAUAUAUAUAUAUAUAUAUAUAUAUAUAUAUAUAUAUAGGGAAAAUAGAAGUUGGAAAUGCACUGAGAAUAGUUAAAAUAUUUUUUACUGUUAUUUUUAACCGGUUUCACAGUUUACACUGAUUUUCAAAAGGUUGCAGGAAACUUACUAAAGGGUUUAAAUUUAAUCUCGUGUUCAUUCUCUAUAAACCUUACCAGAAAACAUAAGGACAUUGAUCGUUUGGUACUGUCACUAGACAUGUUCAGUCGACCGUGUUGGCUUUAACUUACGAUACCAAACUUUGUCACUUGAUACUAACACACGGAUGUACCAGGGAACCUACAAAUCUUUCUAAGAUCAGUCAUGUGACUAUCCUCUACCAAUCAAAUCCUAUUUAAUUCAGCAAUGGACUCCCUAUAAAAAUAGGGCAAGCUUCAAACACUAGUCAGAAGCAAGACAGUUGCAACAUAAGCCACGUCUUUCUAUUUCAACUUCAAGUUCAAGUUCCGCCGAGUUCGACUUUGCCUUUCAUCCUUUCAGGGCCGAUAAAUUAAGUACCUGUUGCGUACUGGGGUCGAUCUAAUCGACUGGCCCCUACCCUAAAAUUUCGUGCCUUGUGCCGAGAGUAGAAACAUAUGUAUACAUACAUAUAUACAUAUAUUAGGAUUUAUGGGGUAAAACGAUUGGCUAUUUCCAAUGCAGCUCAAUCCGAGCUUUAGGCGAUCUGCACCGUCGGAUUAUAGUCUUAAGUAAGAUCGAAAUUCUUUAGGUGUAGAAGAUCCAAGUGUCACAACAGUAAAAAUCAUUGUCGUGGAGGGGUUAGUAACAAGUAAACUAAAUCAAAAUAAGAAGACAAAGGAACACUUUAUCACAUCUUUAAUGACCAAUUAAAAUUUUAUAACAACUCUUUCUUCAACGCCAGAUCACGUAAUAGAGCUAAGUUAAAAUUUAGGAAAUUUUUGCGGUCUUAAACAUUUGAGUGACACUUCUUCAGACCUGCAUUAAAAGAGCGCUUUAAUAUUGUGAAACAAGUACUGGGGUUGAUUCGUUCGACUAAAAUUUUUCAAGGACGUGCCCCAACAUGGUCACAGUCUAAAAACAAUUAAAUCUAGCCCAUCAUUUUGGUCUCAUAGUAAAAGUCCUACCUACCUACCUACCUACCUACCUACCUACCUACCUACCUACCUACCUACCUACCUACCUACCUACCUAUCUACUUACCUACCUACCUACCUACAUACAUACAUACAUACAUACAUAAUACAUACAUACACACAUAUUUAUAUAUAUAUAUAUAUAUAUAUAUAUAUAUAUAUAUAUAUAUAUAUAUAUAUAUAUAUAUAUAUAUAAAAUAUAUUUGGUUGACCGUUGGUCUCUAAGAUCACAGCUAUAUAUAUAUAUAAAAGCUGCAAAAGUAUCACAAAACAACUGUGACUGAGAGUUUCACGUUCCCAUUCGUCGGACAGUUGUGAUCAACACUUUUGACCCCCAACUGUCCGGCGGACGGAAGGUGAAACUCUGAGUCACAUGUUAACUUUACCUUCGGUAUUCGAUUACUAUUUUCUCCACCUUGUUUUGCAUUUACUUGAUUACUCGUGUAAAUACACACACACACACGCGCGCGCGUGCGCACACAUGUAUGUAUGUAUAUAUAUAUAUAUAUAUAUAUAUAUAUAUAUAUAUAUAUAUAUAUAUAUGUAUAUGUAUAUAUAUGUAUACGUAUGUGUGUGUGUGGGAGGGUGCAUGCUUUAAUUGCCUCUGACGGAAUAGUUAGGUUGGCCCAGGUUUGUUCUUGUUUAAUCAGUUUCGAUGCCUAGGUCAACAUUUCUUCUCUAUUUGUGAGGUCCACGGUGAAGCGUUGCUUCUUCUUCGCUGCUGUUGUUGCGAACUUGCUUUUGUUGUUGGUGAUGUUCUCGUUGUUGUUGUUGCUACUACUGCUGCUGACAUUAUUGUCAUUGUUCUUGUCGAUGUUGUUGGUGUUGGUUUUGUUGCUGUUGCUGUUGUCAGUUUUGCUAUUGUUGUUGUUGUUGUUACCAUCGUUGCUGUUGCUGUUUCUUUCGUUGUUGUUGUUGUUGCUGUUGAUGUUGUCGGUGUUGUUGCUGUUGAUGUUGUUGACGGAUAUUUGUUCUCUUCUUGUUUGUUGUUAGCACAACGUUUCGGCUGAUAUACUCAGGUGUCUUGUGGAAAUUUCGAACCUGGGUUCUCAUUCCUAAAGUAUUUUUCGAUGCUGUUGUUGUUGUUGUUGUUGUUGUUGUUGUUAUUAUUAUUAUUAUUAUUAUUAUUAUUAUUAUUAUUAUUAUUAUUAUUAUUAUUAUUAUUAUUAUUAUUAUUAUUAUUAUUAUUAUUAUUAUUCAGGUCACUGCCUGGAAUCGAACUUGGAAUCUUGGGGUUAGUAGCCCGCGCUCUUAACCACUACGCCAUAAGACACCUGAUGAAGGCUAGAGGGUAUAUCAGCCAAAAAGUUGUGUUAACAACAAAGAAGAUGAGGACAAAUAUCCG
rnacentral:lncRNA from 1 species